rnacentral:lncRNA from 1 species
CACCCAAAUAAAAUUUAACACAUCACACCCCUACCCCUACCCUACCUUACUACCCUACCCCACGUACCUCCUUCACAUUUUUCUUCUUUUUGUAACAAACCAUAGCAGAAUAAGGGACACAUACACAUUGAGGAGAAAGGAUCCAAAAUAGACAUCACACACAAUAUAAGGGGAGAGAGAUUCCAUCUCCGGGGGGGGGGGGGUCUUUCUUCCAUUUUCAAAGAACACACGCACAUAGAGCCAUAAAAUUCUUCAUAUUUUUCCUUCUUUCAUAUACACCCACACCACACACACAGAACAUGCACGCAACAAUAUACUCUUACCCACAUAGAGAUCCAAAUCAAGAGAGUGGUAGGAUAGAGGAAAGAGACGCGAGGGAGAUAGCGGAAAAGGGGGAAGUGAUUGGAAAAAAGGAACUGAGCGAGAGAGAGGGGAAAAAAGAUGUAGGCUGACUAUUUCCGGUGAUCUUUCGCUGAAAACUAGCCAAAAUCCGACACUGGAGAAUACCAUUGAUCUCUAAAAUCACCUAAAAAUUGACCAAAAUUCAGUUCAGGUGAGGUUUUCUUCAUUUUUUUGGUGAAUUCCGUUAAAGUUUUGUUAGAAAACGACAAACCAGCUGACUGUUCCUAACCAACUACCACCGUAAAUAGUCAAAACUACCAUAAACAGCUCGGCUCCAAUGAAAUUGAACAGAAAAUGAGCUACACAGUGACGUUUAUGCAUGAAAUCGGGUUCAGGUGUGGUCUAUCUUUCGCGAUAUCUAUUCAACUCAACUUGGUUUUUGAUUUCGUGAUUUCCCUAUUGGGUUCUGAUUUGAACGGAGCUUAGGUCAAAGUUUGUUGAUUUGGGGAUCGUAUAUGAGGUUCGAGUCGAGGUUUUUCUGUUGUGGGUCUAUCUUCAAUAUAUCGAAACCGACAAUUGAGGUCCAAUUCUAUUCCUUUUCUUUAAUUUCAUUGUUUUCUUAUAUUUGGUGUGUUGGAUUGAAUGUGUGUCUUGUUUGAUCUUUGUUGGUGAUGAAUGCGUAUUUAUUUUGAUUCUUUGUUAACGGUUUAAUUCGGAAUAAAUAUCAAUGUCGUUAAACACAAUAGUAUCAUGAUAGGGUGAAUUGGUAGGCAAAUGGUCGGCCGGGUAGGCAAAUUGAGGAAUAACGAUUUGUUGAGAAUGCCCCGAAGAAUUUGUAUUGAUUUAUCCGGGGAAUGCCUCGAAGUAUUCUGUACUCGAAGGACGUCCGUGAUGAAGGUCCGAGGCAUCGGGUAAGGCAUUGGAGCAUAGUUUAGGUUAGCGUAGGUUACAUUUCAGUAUCUUUUAUUUUGGUUUUGUAAUAAAUUAGACUGGACACUGUAUUUUUGGAUCUUGUUUUGUUUUCUUUUGUUGGUUGUUUGAUUGUUCAGCGUGAUUUUGUGUGAUUUAUACAUUCAUAGUGUCAAAUUAGCUGACAUGCUCCCCCAAGUGACCGUGGUUAAACCACGGGAUUGGGAGAUGCCUAACACUUUCCCCUCAGUCAACCGAAUUCCAUAAUCGGAAUCUCUAUUCGCGAAUCAGUUUUAGAGUCAAAACCUUUUUGAAAAAGGAUUUGCAAAGAUGACUUGGCACACCCGAUUAUGCCAAGUGGCGACUCUGAGUUUAAAUGUAAAUAAUCCUUUUUGAAAUAAUUUUUUUUAUUUUUUUGUCACUUUAAUAAUAAAAGCCCUUUCAAAACUUUAAAAUCUUAAUCUUUUUGGAGUUAAAAAAGGGGUGUGACACCUUUCAUACAACAUCGGUGACAAAUGUUAACUUUACCCUUUGAAGGAUUAUUUUGAGAACCUUUCUUAUUCUCUUGUUUAUUUCCAUCAUUAUGACGAUAAUUAUUUCUUCCUUUUCCACGUCCUCGCCCACGUCCACGACUAUGGCCUUGACCACGAUUUCGAUAAUAAUUUUGCCUUAUUUCAGGCUGAUCAUACGCUGCUACAAUAUUCGCUUCAGGGAAUGAAGCAGAUCCAGUGGGACGAGCUUCAUGAUUUUUCAUUCACAAAGUAUUAUUCUGCUCUGCCACAAGUAGGCUUGUAAUCAAUUCAGAAUAUUUAUUAAAUCCCUUUUCACGAUAUUGCUGUUGUAACAAUACAUUAAAAGCAUGAAAAGUGGAAAAAGUUUUCUCUAGUAAGUCCUCAUCAGUGAUGGUUUCUCCACAUAAUCUUAAUAUUGAACUUACUUUAUGAAUAACAUAAUUAUACUCAACUACGGUUUUAAAAUCUUGAAAUCGAAGGUAUAUCCAGUCAUAUUUAGCUUUCGAUAAUAUCAUCAAUUUUAGGUGGUGAUAUCGGUCCUUCAAGUUGAUCCAUGAUUCGAGUGGAUCUUUCACAGUUAAAUAUUCAGUUUUUAAUCCUUCGUGGAGGUGAUGACGAAGAAAAAUCAUAGCUUUUGCCUUAUCUUGACUUGAUGCGUUAUUUUCUUGUUUAAUAGUAUCCUCAAGAUCUCUAGCAUCAAAGUGAAUUUCAGCAUCAAGAACACUUAAUAAAUAAUUCUUUCCGGUAAUAUCCAGUGCUACAAACUCAAGUUUCGAUAAAUUUGACAUAGUGAAACUCUCAUAGAAAGAUUAAUAAGUUAGAUAUAAUGAUAUUUUAAAAAUAAGAUAACCAUCUCAAAUAAAUCUAAAUAGAAUCAUAUAUUGUUAAUAGAUUAUUAUCAAAAGUUUUUUCUUUUAAAAAUUUAUAUUUGUGUGUGUUGAUGAAAAUAAAUAGUUACAUAAUACGUACCUUGUUAGAACAUCGUGCUGAUAACGUGUUAUGAAUUUAACCAAAAGUAACCAAAGAAAAGAGAGAAUUUGAAUGUAUUAAUCUUUCACUUACUUACUCAAUUUCAUCAUAAGGCGUGAGUUAUUUAUAGGCCAUGCAUAGGUCUUACAUAAUAUUUCACAAAGGGGUGGGAUAUGAGUAGGCUAUCAAAGGUGGAGGAAAUAGUAAGACUCCACUUAAAAAGAAAGGUAAAAUGACCACUUAGAAAAAGGAGGCUAAAUGGAUAUUUAUGUCAUUCGUUCACAACAAUAUAUAUAUAUAUAUAUAUAUAUAUAUAUAUAUAUAUANNNNNNNNNNNNNNNNNNNNNNNNNNNNNNNNNNNNNNNNNNNNNNNNNNNNNNNNNNNNNNNNNNNNNNNNNNNNNNNNNNNNNNNNNNNNNNNNNNNNNNNNNNNNNNNNNNNNNNNNNNNNNNNNNNNNNNNNNGAGGAAAAAAUAAUGAAAAAAAACGAAACAAAAUGAUUAGAUCGAACACAAAAAUAGGUUGCCUACAUAUCAUGUAGUACAUGAAUCAGAUCUUGCGUAGUUUGGGCAGUCUUGCCAAAAUGGCCAAUUAAACUCUUUUUUCAUUCUUUUGCUUGAAACUUUAAGAAGAAAAGAAAAUAACAAUUUGUCAAAAGAAUUGACGAACAUGUUUUUUUUAAAAUACCUAUACAAAACGAAACCUAUGAUUACCAAAGAAAAAUCUUUUGGGGUUUUCAAUUUUGAAUUUCAUAUGAAAAUGAAACUUGAAACUAUUAAAGGAAAAAUCUUUUUGUAGUUUUCUUUUGAAGAUGUAUAUGAAACACCUACUCUAAAUAAAGAGUGAAGAAAAUCUUUAUUUUUUUUGAAUUUUUUGGAAUAAGAUCAACCAAAAAUGAACCCUACGACUAUUGAGGAAAAUCUUUUUUUUUUCUUCUUUUUUUUUCUUUUCAAGAUAUGUAUAAAACAUCUACUCUAAAUAAAGAGUGAAGAAAAUCUUUUUUUUUUUUUUCGAAUUUACGAUACUUUGAGAAGGCAAAUGCAAAACGUAAAAAAAUCUUUUUGAAUUUUUGGAUCGUGAAGAACAAAAGCAAUAAAGAAUUCUAAAAUAAACUACGACAUUCCUCUUUUUUUUUUCAUUCUUUUCGACUCACUUUUUCUAUUUUUUCUUUUUUCAUUUUUUUUGCCUUUCUUUUUUCAAAAAUCAGUCCGUCAAAUGACCACGUUACCCUUAAAAAUGCAACAGUUAGCACGUAGGGAUGCUUUAGAGGGGAGUCUUCUACAAAGAGCCAUGUGAGUCCCACUAGGUCUCCAUAUGAUGCGCAUAAGCAUGACCUAAAGGCUAACCUACGUGGUGGUUUACUAACAAGGCUGUUCGGGGGAGCGUAUGGUCGAUAGUGGCUGCUUUGCUUUCCACCUACUCCAUAACACCGAUGGCUCCCCCUCCUAAAAUAAGGGUGACUCAACUAGAGGUUGUGUACAACACGUGUACUACGGACUUGUUGCAGAAAGAAAGCCGGGGGGUGGACUUAUGAUGACAGAUAUAAAGCGGUAACACAUAGGAUAAAUACUAUAAACAAAGAGCACGAAAACGCACAAAAGUGAAAAUAACACAAACAAUAACCACAAACAAUGCUUAUACACUCGUAAUGCCAAACAAAGCCGAUACGACUCCAAAAAUAGCUCGAAUUCUCAUACUUUCCCCACAGAGUCUCCAGAGCUGUCACACCCCUUUUCACGUACUCCAAAAAAAUAUGGUUAUAAAUUAAUGUUUGAAAGGGUUUUAAUUAUUAAAGUGACAAAAGAUGAAAAUUUGUUUCGGAAAAGGAUUAUUUACAUUUUUUACUUAGAGUCGCCACUUGGCAUAAUCUGGCGUGCCAAGUCACCAUUAGAAAAUCCUUUUCAAAACCGUUUGAUUCUUUGAACUGGUUUGCGAAUAGAGAUUUCGGCUAAGGAAUUCUGUUGACCAAGGAGAAGGUAUUAGGCACCUCUCGAUCCCAUGGUUCAAACACGGUCGCUUGGUAGAGUGUAUCGACUAUUUGGCACUAAGAGAUGUAUGAACCUCACAAGAAGCAUGCAAAAUAAUCAAACAAAACAAAACACCCCGAAAUAUAAUGUCCAGUCUAAUUAUUACAACCCGAAAUAAAAGGGACUGAAAGUAAACCUACGCUAAUCCUGAACUAAUCCGACUCCUCGGGCUUUCACCAUGAACGUCCUCCGGGUACAUAAUACCUCGGGGCAUUCCCCGGUGAAUAAAUAUAUACAGAUACUUCGGGGCAUUCCCCGGCCAAAUUAUACAAUUGAUUCAAAAGUGCUAAAAUCAAACCAUUCAAUCAAAUUUCAAACACUCAAUCAACCCACAAUCUCUAGAUUUGCCUACCCGACCUACGUCUUGCCUAUUCCAAUCAGCGUAUCUUGAUACUACGAAAUUCAAUUAACGUUUAUUUCAAGUCAAACAACUAAUGAAUCAAGCUAAUCAAAGUUCACUAAUUAUAUCAAGUUUUCAAUUCUUGCCCACUUAUUCCCACAUGAAUUCAACUCUUUUAAUUCCUUCAUUCACGUAAAUCAAUCAAUCAAUAUCAACCACAGUAAUCGCGAUUUCUCAAACACAAUAUCAAAACAUAUCACCACGUCACAAUCAUCAACCAAACACAAUAUUCACUCCAAGACAUCAAAUAUAAUAAACAUGAAAUAAAAGAGGGGGAAUAGAAUUGGACCUCAAUUCGUAGCUUUCAAAUUCCAAUAUUAAUCGAGUGAAAAAACCAAAGACCGCGUCUGAAUAUCCCGAGCAGAACCUCAAUUUUAUUUCAAUCCGCAAACUGUUCGACGGUUCAAUGAUGAUUUUAUACCAAAUAUCAGUCAAUCAAGAAUAAGAAAAUGAAUCCGCGUGCCAAAGAACCUCGAAUCAGACACAAACUCGACCACCAACCUCAAUUCCGAACUCGAUUUAAUCACCACAUCAGACCAAAAUGUUGUAAUAACGAAAAACCACAACCGAUUUCACCGGAACCAAAUUCAAACGACCGAUUCUCCUAGUUUAGAAAGAACAACGACAAAAUCCAUUCCAAAAUAACAAUUGACCAAGAACAGAAUGAAAAACAAAACCCGCGCUUGACCCGAUUUCAAGCAGAACCGAACAUAACAACGAUUUCGGUGGACGUUAUUGGAAUUCAAUCACACCACCCUCCUUCCCAGUUGGUUCCCCUUUAUGCUUUUCUCCCAAUCUUUUGAUCCCUCUCUCUAUUUUGAUCUCUUUCUCACUUGAAUCUCUCUUUCUCCGAUCUUUCUCAAUCUCCCUCCAUUUUUCUGCUUUUCGAUUGUGUGUAUGCGAUGAAUUGUGAAGGAAAUCUGUGUUGUUGUUGUUAUCUGGGUGAGUCUCGAUGUUGGUGAUAGGGUAGGGGGUAGGUGUGAUGUGUUUUAUUUUGAUUGGGUUGGUUGUUAGGAUGUGUUGUCAAUUUUUGGUUGGUUGGGUUGUUAGAAUAUUAGGAUAAAACAAAAUUAGUUAGGGGGUUGCUAUUUUUUGUCAUUUUGUGGAGGGAUUAUCACACGGGUGAGGGUACACGGUAGGAUAAGGUAAACAAUAGGUAAAAACGAUAUCGGGGAGGGAUGAAAUUAGGUGUCUACAUCAUGCCCCAUUUGAAUGUAAACACGAAGUGUUUUUAGGCAAAGAAGUAGACAGCGAGACCAAAUUUUGACCCGACCAUUAUUCAAAGAAAGAAACAGAAGGAAGAAGGACAAUCGUGUCUUGACUUAAGACAUCCUUCCUACCCAAGUUAUGAGAGAAUCAAGUCACGGGUAUUUCAAAGGAUUGGAAGAGAAGUGGACUAUACCGAGUUGGAGAGUCGAGUGAGGUUACAUCGAGGUUCCGGUCCGCAGCUCUGUCAUUACAUCAAAAACUAAAAAUUACAAGUUAAAACAUAAACAGAUUUACAAAAAUCCUAACUAUACAACUUCUGUCGGCUCUUGGCUUGACUUUUAUCACCCUAUUCUUCAGGCGGGCUCCUGACUUGCAAUUUCUUUCAACUUGUUGCUUGGCUUUCAAUUGCUUCAUUUUGUUGCAUGACUUUUCGUUUCUUCACCCUAUUCUUUAGGCGGGCCUUUGACUUGCUAUUUCAUCACCCUAUUCUUCAGGUGGGCUCCUGAAACCCAAAAUUAAAACUAGAAUGAAAAUUAUCCCAAACAAGAAUUAUAAUAAAGUGGUAUUUCAUUUUUGAAAGUGUUGUCCCAUUUUCCAAGAGGGUCCUGAACAUAAGGUGAAAUCCCAUUUUUUAGGAGGGUCCUGAAUAGAAAGUAAAGUCCCAUUUUUCAGGAGGGUCCUGAACAGAAAGUAAAAUCUCAUUUUUCAAGAGGGUCCUGAAUAGAAAGUAAAAUCCCAUUUUUCAGGAGGGUCUUGAACAGAAAGUAAAAUCCCAUUUUCCAGGAGGGACCUGAACAUAAAGUAAAAUCCCAUUUUCCAGGAGGGNNNNNNNNNNNNNNNNNNNNNNNNNNNNNNNNNNNNNNNNNNNNNNNNNNNNNNNNNNNNNNNNNNNNNNNNNNNNNNNNNNNNNNNNNNNNNNNNNNNNNNNNNNNNNNNNNNNNNNNNNNNNNNNNNNNNNNNNNNNNNNNNNNNNNNNNNNNNNNNNNNNNNNNNNNNNNNNNNNNNNNNNNNNUUAUAAUAAAGUAGUAUUUCAUUUUUUUUUAAAGGGUUAUCCUAUUUUCCGGGAGGGUCCUGAACAGAAAGUAAUAUCCCAUUUUUCAGGAGGGUCCUGAACAGAAAGUAAAAUCCCAUUUUUCAGGAGGGUCUCUGAACGGAAAUUAAAAUCCCAUGGAUGUGCAUUUCCAAUGAUAGCUGAAUUAAGUGAAGCGAAUUUGCCCCUAUAUCAACAAAGAAAAUUUGUUAGUUAAAAAGUUAGUGUUGGUUUGCAGAUCUUGGCUUCUCAGGUAUCUGCCCAGCACUCAUUCCUUUCAUAUUUGUUCUAAAUCCCUAACACUUGUCCUGUCUUGCCACAUCAUCGACCCGAAUCCAGAUUGAGGGAAGUGAGUUUUGACUCGAACAAUGGGCUUCCAUUUUACCAUGCCUCUGAGGUGCACCCUUUUCCCAAAUCUGAAUGCUUCCACGAAUCCAACAGCUCGUUGGUUGAUAGACUUCCUUUGUUUCGUGUUGAAUUACAAUCAUAUUUCUUUCCUGUGUUGUUCCUUGGAUUUUCCCCGUAUAAUUGGAAAGACUGGUAGUAAAUUUUGAAAUCCUUUCUCGCUUGUUUUGACACAGACUUGACUUAAAAUGUAAACAAAUUAUGGUGACUUUUAUUUUGAUAAAUGACCUAAAAAGACAAAAAGCAUGAAUAUGUAAAUGAAAGAAAAGGGAAAUGUCCCAUAUUCAAAAAGAAAACUUAUCUGAAUACGACAACCAACUCCAAUGAGUAUGACAUGCAUUUUUGGAUUGAGCUGCUGAUCUUCCUAUCCAAACUCCCCAUUUGUUGUUGAGUUCAUGCCUUUGCUGCUGAGCCGCUUCUUCAAAUCCAUUGGACUCAUACAUCACAUUCGAUUGACGNNNNNNNNNNNNNNNNNNNNNNNNNNNNNNNNNNNNNNNNNNNNNNNNNNNNNNNNNNNNNNNUUUUGGAUUGAGCUGCCUGAUCUUCCUAUCCAAACUCCCCAUUUUUUGUUGAGUUCGUGCCUUAGCCGCUGAGCCGCUUCUUCAAAUCCAUUGGACUCAUACAUCACAUUCAAUUGACGACAUCUUGAAAGACUUUCACCAACAAAUCUCUUUUUGUUUUCACUUUUCACUUUUCUCUUGAACUCUCCAUUGCCUUAUGGUGCCCGUGAGGGUUUUCACCAAUAAGACUCUCUCAUUUUUAUUUCUCUCUACUCUCCAUCGCCUUAUGGUGCCUGCAAGGGUUUUCACCGAUAAGACUCUCUCAUUUUCAUUUCUCUCAACUCACCAUCGCCUUAUGAUGCCCACGGGGGUUUUCACCAAUAACACUCUCUCAUUUUUGUAUUUCUCUCAACUCACUAUAGCCUUAUGAUGCCCAUGGGGGUUUUCACCAAUAAGACUCUCUCAUUUUUGUAUUUAUUUCCUGAUUUCUUAUGCUGAGGGAGACAAGUGGUACCUCACAAUGUAUCAACAUAUCCAUUGCAUGCUUAGACUUAACAUUAUCAAAAAUUGAUCUGAAGGACUUUCUUUGGUUGUAACUUGGCUUUUGGUUAAGGUUAGAAAAGAUGGUAAGGGGCUCAAAUGAUACUUGAAGUGGGGGGUAGGACUUACAAUUUUUGGAAUCGACUCAAACAACACAUUAACUCAUGCCCCAGCUUUGUUGACCGGGUGAAUCUUAGAUCAUCAUUUGGUUGGACCGAGCCCGAAAUAGGGCAGCCUACGUAUCUCACUCCCGAGAGAGGAGAAUCAGGUCACACGUAGUUCCAUCAGCUUGUUCUUUGUUUUGAUUUGAUUUUGAUUUUUUUAUUUUAUUUUUGAACUCUUUCUUUUAUUCUUAUUUUCUUGACAUUUAUCUUUGACUCUAUUUUGAUUCCAAAAGAGGGAUAUGAAAGAAAAAUAAAACGAAGACCAAACGGGUAAACAAAGGAUGAAACCAUGUUUGGAUAAAAGAAUAAAAUGCCUUCAUCAUAUCAAUCUUCAAGAAUGCAAGUACUAAACAUGCAAUAAACUCAACAAAGGAUCAAAUAUCAUACAUAAUAUCUUUUGACUGCAUCAGCAUUGAUAGUUAUUUUUGCCAUUUUGCCUUCAAUAUCUGUCAAAUAUAAGGCUCCAUUGGGCAACACUUUCUUCAAAACAAAGGGACCUUGCCAGUUAGGGGAGAACUUGCCUUUCGGUUCAACCUGGCGAGGAAGGAUACGUCUCAAUACCAAUUGACCAACUUUAAAAUUCCUGGGACGGACCUUUUUGUUAUACGCUCAAGCCAUCCUCCCCUGAUACAACUGGCUGUGACACACAGACGUUAGCCUUUUUUCGUCAAUCAAGCUCAAAUGUUCCAGUCGAUUUUUUACCCAUUCGUCAUCAUCAAUCUCUGUUUCUACAAUGACUCGAAGAGAGGGAAUUUCAAAUUCUGCAGGGAUGACUGAUUCUGUCCCAUACACUAAUAAAUAUGGAGUUGCCCCUGUUGAAGUGCGAACAGUGGUGCGAUAACCUAGCAAUGCAAACGGCAACUUUUCAUGCCACUGUCUAGACCCUUGUACCAUUUUUGCGGUAUCUUUUUAAAAUUCUUAUUAGCAGCUUCUACAGCACCAUUGGCCUUUAGGCGAUAUGGAGUAGAAUUUUGAUGCGCGAUCUUAAACUGUUGACAUACUUCUUGCAUCAAAUGACUAUUGAGAUUGGCAGCAUUGUCCGUAAUGAUCAUCUUAGGAAUUCCAAAUCUACAAAUGUUAUUGGCAUGAACAAAAUCUACCACAGCCUUCUUUGUCACUGACUUGAACGUUACUGCUUCUACCUACUUUGUGAAGUAGUCAAUGGCUACCAAAAUGAACCUAUGUCCAUUUGAUGCCUUCGGCUCAAUCGGUCCAAUCACAUCCAUUCCCCAAGCCACGAACGGCCAUGGAGCGGCCAUUGCAUGCAACUCAAAAGGAGAAGAACGUAUCAGAUCACCGUGUAACUGACCUUGAUGACACUUUCGAACAAAUUGAAUAGAAUCCCUUUCCAUAGUAAGCCAGUAAUAACCUGCUCGAAGAAUCUUCUUUGACAAGACAUGACCAUUCAUAUGCGACUCGCAUACCCCAGAGUGUAUUUCAACCAUGAUUGCCGAGGCUUCUCUUGCAUCUACACACCUUAAAAGUCCCAGAUCUAGGGUUCUCUUAUACAAGAUUCCCCCACUUAAGAAAAAUUUACUAGCCAAACGCCUAAUCGUCCUCUUUUGAUCGUUGGUAGCAUAUGCUGGGUAUUUUCUUGACUGAAUGUACCGCUUGAUAUCCAAGAACCAAGGUUCUCCAUCGAUCUCUUAUUCAACCGCAUUACAGUAAGCAUGCUGAUCACAACUCUGUAUAUGCAUUGGAUCGAUGUAGGCUUUGUUAGGAUGUUGGAGCAUUGAAAACAGAGUAGCUAAAGCAUCAGCAAUUUCAUUACGAAUUCUUGGAAUAUGCCUAAAUUUUACUAACACAAACCGUUGACAUAGCUCCUACAAUCAUUGUCGAUAUGGGAUGAGCUUCAAAUCUUGAGUCUCCCAAUCGCCUUGAAUUUGAUGGACGAGCAAAUCCGAAUCUCUCAACACCAAUAAUUCUUGGACUCCCAUAUCAACAGCUAACCUCAAACCAAGAAUGCAGGCUUCAUACUCUGCUAUAUUGUUAGUACAGUAGAAUCGAAGUUGUGCUAUUACCGGGAAAUAUUGUCCCGAUUCAGAGAUAAGAACCGCACCUACUCUGACUUCUUUCAUAUUGACAGCUCCAUCGAAGAAUAACCUCCAACCUGGAUCAGCAUCUAUAACGACUUCAUCGACACACGACAUUUCUUCGUCAGGAAAAUAUGUCCUUAAUGGCUCGUAAUCUUCAUUGAUGGGAUUCUCAGUAAGAUGGUCUGCCAAGGCUUGGGCUUUCAUGGCGGUUCGAGUCAUAUAUACAAUGUCGAACUCGGUAAGCAAUAUUUGCCACUUUGCCAAUCGACCCGUUGGCAUAGGCUUUUGAAAAAUUACUUUAAAGGAUCCAUGCGGGAGAUGAGAUAAGUAGUAUAGGAAGAGAGAUAAUGCUUCAACUUCUAUGCUACCCAAUUUAAGGCACAGCACGUUCUUUCAAGAAGAGUAUACCUGGCCUCAUAUGCGGUGAACUUCUUACUAAGAUAAUAAAUAGCCUGCUCCUUUUUGCCUGUGACAUCAUGUUGACCCAGAACACAACCGAAAGAAUUGUCCAUGACUGAUAAAUAUAAGAUCAAAGGCCUACCAGGAUCCAGGGGUACCAGCACGGGCGGAUUUGAAAAAUAUCUUUUGAUUCGAUCGAACACUUCCUGACAUUCUUCAGUCCAUUUUACCACAGCACUCUUUUUUAGCAACUUGAAUAUGGGCUAACAAGUGGUUGUGAGUUGAGCAAUAAACCUGCUAAUGUAGUUCAGUCUACCAAGCAAACUCAUUACCUCCGUUCUAUUCUUCGGCGGGGGCAAAUCCUGAAUGGCUUUGAUUUUUGAGGCACCAAUUCAAUUCCCCGAUGGCUGACUACAAACCCCAAUAGUGAUGGAAAUCCAAAUACAUAUUUUGUCGGGUUGAGUUUGAGAUUAUAUCUGCGAAGCCUUUCAAAGAACUUUCUUAAAUCUUUUACAUGGUUGGCCUGACUUUUUGACUUAAUAAUCACAUCAUCCACGUAGACCUCAAUCUCCUUAUGCAUCAUAUCAUGAAACAUAGUGGUCAUGGCUCUCAUGUAUAUUGAUCUAGCAUUCUUCAAACUCAACGGAAUCACUCGAUAACAAUAGGCUCCCCAUGGUGUGAUAAAAGACGUCUUUUCCGCGUCUUCAUCAUCCAUAAUGAUCUGGUCAUAUCCGGCAUAGCAAUCCACAAAAGAGGCAACCUCGUGUUUAGCACAAUUGUCUAGCAAAAUGUGAAUAUUGGGCAGUGGAAAAUCAUCUUUCGGACUUGCUCUGUUCAAAUCACGAUAAUCAACACACACUCAAAUUUUUCCAUUUUUCUUUGGUACGGGAACAACAUUGGAUAACCACAUGGGAUAGCGAGCUACUCGAAUUACUUUGGCUUCAAGUUGUUUCAUGAUUUCCUCUUUAAUUUUAAUACUUACAUCNNNNNNNNNNNNNNNNNNNNNNNNNNNNNNNNNNNNNNNNNNNNNNNNNNNNNNNNNNNNNNNNNNNNNNNNNNNNNNNNNNNNNNNNNNNNNNNNNNNNNNNNNNNNNNNNNNNNNNNNNNNNNNNNNNNNNNNNNNNNNNNNNNNNNNNNNNAACUGUUCCAACUCUUUGCUUAUUUCUUCUAGUGCUUCUUCUUCAUCAUAUUCCCCAUCCUUCUUUAUUACAUCUUGAUUGGUUUAGAUUUUAAGAUCAGGCUAAAAAUUCCGCAUGCAUGUCAUGUCAUUAGAAUCAGUAUAAAGAGAACUGUGUAAGAAAAGAAAAACAAAAUAUAUUAAACACAAAACAAAAGGGACAUUGCAUUUCAUUAAAUAAAAAGAUAGAAGGGUUUUAAGAUAGAUGCCAACAUAACAUAAGAAAACUAAAAUCCGAAUUUCAACCCUGAAAUAACUCGGAUAAAUAGAAAGAAAAAUAAAAUAAACUACCAAAACUCCCUCCUGACGGGGAGAGGAGUGACUUCCCAAUUAUUGAGCUGGACAGCUGGACCUAUGAAUUGUACGUCUGCCAUAAUGGUACCUUCUCCUGCUUCGACCAUAUCAACUUCAAAUAAAAGGUUCUGGAACUCAUCAACCACUUCAAAUUUAAAUUCCACAUGCUUCGUGACACCGCUCUUAACAAAUGAUUCACUGAGUAGUGUCAUUGGGCGAGAGAGUGACCAUGUUUCCUUUUUCCUUUCCUUGGAUUUCUUCAGAUCUUCAGCCGUAGGCUCGAAUCCUAGACCAAACGUGUGGACAUAUGGGAUGAACUAUACCGUGUAGAGACGCUCCCAAACCCUUUCCUGGCUCAAAUCCGUAUUUCCAAAGUCCACUCACCAUCAUGAUAGAAGCAGAAGACAAUUGCGGUCCUGGUAUAGUCUGCCAUUCAAGGAUACGAUUCACUGGCACUGUAUCAAAAAUUUGAUAGAAGAAUGUCUCCUCUACGUUAUUUGCUUCAAUAAGAGACAAGGGAGAAUCUUCGUAGGCUGACAAAUCUCCUUCACCAUGAAUAACCACUUCUUGCCUGUCAUGCUCAAACUUAAUCAUUUGGUGCAGUGUAGACGCAACCUCCUUGGCCUUGUGAAUCCACGGCCUUCCUAACAACAGAUUGUAAGAGGAGUCUACAUUCAAUACUUGAAACUUUACGGCGAAAUCAACAGGCCCUAUGGUCAACAUUAGUUCUAUUUCGCCAAUGGAAUUUGAUUUUGCACCAUCGAAAGCCCUAACGCAUACAUUGUUGGGCCUGAUCCUGUCAGCACCAAUAUUCAACUUUUGCAAAGUAGAAAUAGGGAAAAUAUUUGCACCUGAACCUCCAUCAAUCAUGACAUUAGUGACGUAGAAAUCUUCACACUUCACUGUAAUGUAAAGGCCCCGGUUAUGCCCUGUACCUUCAACAGGCAAUUCAUCGUCAGAAAAGCUGAUCCAAUUGACCUCAAAGAUUUUUCCAACCAUUUUCUUAAGUUAGUUGAUUGUAAUCUCCCUAGGAACAUAUGCUUCAUUUAAUACCUUCAGUAAUACAUCACGAUACUCCUUGGAGUGCAAAAACAAAGAUAAAAGGCGCUGCUAGUGCUCCUUUCAUAUCAACUAUCGGAGGUUGGGUCACCGGUUUGAGGAUAAUAGGCGCUGCUAGUGCUCCUUUCACCGUCAAGAUGGGCUGACUCAGAGCUCCCACCACUGUCAACUUAGGUUUAUCCUGACUUAAAUUAACACACAUUCUGGCGCCUUGUACUGUGAUCAGGGUUUUCUUUGUGCUUUCUUGAGGGUCACCGGUUUGAGGAUAAUAGGCGCUGCUAGUGCUCCUUUCACCGUCAAGAUGGGCUGACUCAGAGCUCCCACCACUGUCAACUUAGGUUUAUCCUGACUUAAAUUAACACACAUUCUGGCGCCUUGUACUCUUCCCCGUCAUAUAUCAAUUCUAAUAUAUUGGCUUUAGCAUGGGUUGGCAGCGGAUUCUGGUUAAUGUUUGGACCCUCCGGGGCCUAGACCAGCAUCUGAUUUGUGUCAAUUAAAUCUUGGANNNNNNNNNNNNNNNNNNNNNNNNNNNNNNNNNNNNNNNNNNNNNNNNNNNNNNNNNNNNNNNNNNNNNNNNNNNNNNNNNNNNNNNNNNNNNNNNNNNNNNNNNNNNNNNNNNNNNNNNNNNNNNNNNNNNNNNNNNNNNNNNNNNNNNNNNNNNNNNNNNNNNNNNNNNNNNNNNNNNNNNNNNNNNNNNNNNNNNNNNNNNNNNNNNNNNNNNNNNNNNNNNNNNNNNNNNNNNNNNNNNNNNNNNNNNNNNNNNNNNNNNNNNNNNNNNNNNNNNNNNNNNNNNNNNNNNNNNNNNNNNNNNNNNNNNNNNNNNNNNNNNNNNNNNNNNNNNNNNNNNNNNNNNNNNNNNNNNNNNNNNNNNNNNNNNNNNNNNNNNNNNNNNNNNNNNNNNNNNNNNNNNNNNNNNNNNNNNNNNNNNNNNNNNNNNNNNNNNNNNNNNNNNNNNNNNNNNNNNNNNNNNNNNNNNNNNNNNNNNNNNNNNNNNNNNNNNNNNNNNNNNNNNNNNNNNNNNNNNNNNNNNNNNNNNNNNNNNNNNNNNNNNNNNNNNNNNNNNNNNNNNNNNNNNNNNNNNNNNNNNNNNNNNNNNNNNNNNNNNNNNNNNNNNNNNNNNNNNNNNNNNNNNNNNNNNNNNNNNNNNNNNNNNNNNNNNNNNNNNNNNNNNNNNNNNNNNNNNNNNNNNNNNNNNNNNNNNNNNNNNNNNNNNNNNNNNNNNNNNNNNNNNNNNNNNNNNNNNNNNNNNNNNNNNNNNNNNNNNNNNNNNNNNNNNNNNNNNNNNNNNNNNNNNNNNNNNNNNNNNNNNNNNNNNNNNNNNNNNNNNNNNNNNNNNNNNNNNNNNNNNNNNNNNNNNNNNNNNNNNNNNNNNNNNNNNNNNUUCUUCAUGUUGACCAAGAAUUUUUCGUCCGGAAUCAGGUUGAUGUUGUACUGAAAAUGUUGAACAAAUUCAAAAGCCAAAUCAUCCCAGCUAUUCCAUUUAUCAAUGUCUCGAUCGAUAAACCAUUCUGAGGCCAGAUUUGAAAGACUCUCGCCAAAGAAGGCCAUGAGCAGUUCUUCCUUUCCUCCUGUAGCCCUCAACUAGUUGCAAUAACGUCUCAAGUAUGCAACGGGAUCACCGUGUCCUGCAUACUUCUCAAACUUAGGGAUCUUAAAACCGGGGGGAAGGUUGAUGUCUGGGAACAUGCAAAGAUCUUUAUAGGAAACACUCCUAUAAUCUCCGAUUUCUUGCAAAUUCCUCAUAGCUUGUUCUAAACUUUUCAAUUUCCGGGCUAUGAUAUCCUAUUCCUCUGCUGCGACAGGUUUCUCCAUAUCAAAUGGAAAUGCAGGCGGCUGAGUGUAGCCAUACGAUUCAUUCAUUUGCAAAGUAGGCUCAGGGGCAUAAUACUGACUAUCUGAAACCUUCAGUACUGGCUCACUAGCAGACCUAAGAAGCCUCAUUGUGGGAUGCACCACAUAUAUGGGAAUUUCAUAUGGUGGCGGAGCCACGAAUACCGGUGUGAUCGGUGGCACUGACUGAGCAGCUGGUCUUGAUUGGGGAGCUGCCAAGGGCACACCAGAACUGCCAGGAUAAUAAUGUUGCAGAGUGAAUCCUGGCGCGUGCUCAGGCAACUCAGUAGGAGCAGAGAAUUGCGCCUGAGAGAGCGGUGGACAGUUAGAGAUAUUCCCAAGACCUUCAGGGAGCGGAGGAGGAGGCAUUCCGCUGGCCCAUGCCCGGUGCAAAUCUAUCUGUUGUUGCCUGAGCCUUACUACCUCAUUAUUGUGUUCUGAACUUUCUUUCCUGUGAUCCUGAUCCGGGUCAAUGAGCGAAUUUUCAAUCUCCCUACUAGCCAUGGCGAGCUUUGCUUUGGAUCUAGUGAAGUAUGGGUGACUAGCCAGAGUGCUGCAAACCUACCACUGUUAUCUGAAAGAACAUGCUCAUCAAAGAAGACAUCCGUUAGGAUUAGGGCACAUAACCAGCAUGGGAAUCACAUUGGUAAAAUUGUCCUAAAUUCAUGUUCAUUUCUACCAGCUUUUGAGGGUAGCGAGGUCAUUUUAACAUCAUCCUGAUUUUUGUCUACACCUAUUUUUAUCUUCUACGCUCCUUAUGAAAUAGGGCCAUCACCACAGAUUGCAAACGGCUAUUAAUACGUCUUUCUUCUAGUGGAAACANNNNNNNNNNNNNNNNNNNNNNNNNNNNNNNNNNNNNNNNNNNNNNNNNNNNNNNNNNNNNNNNNNNNNNNNUUAAACUCUUUUUUCAUUCUUUUGCUUGAAACUUUAAGAAGAAAAGAAAAUAACAAUUUGUCAAAAGAAUUGACGAACAUGUUUUUGCAUUUUUUUUUUAAAAUACCUAUACAAAACGAAACCUAUGAUUACCAAAGAAAAAUCUUUUGGGGUUUUCAAUUUUGAAUUUCAUAUGAAAAUGAAACUUGAAACUAUUAAAGGAAAAUCUUUUUGUAGUUUUCUCUUCAAGAUGUAUAUGAAACACCUACUCUAAAUAAAGAGUGAAGAAAAUCUUUUUUUUUUUUUAAUUUUUUGGAAUAAGAUCAACCAAAAAUGAACCCUACGACUAUUGAGGAAAAUCUUUUUUUUUCUUCUUCUUUUCAAGAUAUGUAUGAAACACCUACUCUAAAUAAAGAGUGAAGAAAAUCUUCUUCUUUUUUUUUCGAAUUUAUGGUACUUUGAGAAGGCAAAUGCAAAACGUAAAAAAAUCUUUUUGAGUUUUUGGAUCGUGAAGAACAAAAGCCAUAAAGAAUUCUAAAAUAAACUACGACAUUCCUCUAUUUUUAUUUUCAUUCUUUUCGACUCACUUUUUCUAUUUUUUCUUUUUUCAUUUUUUUUGCCUACACACCUUACUCCUAACAAUUUUUUUUUCUUUUUUCAAAAAUCAGUCCGUCAAAUGACCACGUUACCCUUAAAAAUGCAACAGUUAGCACGUAGGGAUGCUUUAGAGGGGAGUCUACUACAAAGGGCCAUGUGGGUCCCGCUAGGUCUCCGUAUGAUGCACAUAAGCAUGACCUAAAGGCUGACCUACGUGGUGGUCUACUAACAAGGCUGUUCGGGGGAGCGUAUGGUCGAUAGUGGCUGCUUUGCUUUCCACCUACUCCAUAACACCGACGGCUCCCCCCCACCUACAACACGUGUACUACGGACUUGUUGCAGAAAGAAGGCCGGGGGUAGACUCAUGAUGACAGAUAUAAAGCGGUAACACAUAGGAUAAAUACUAUAAACAAAGAGCACGAAAACGCACAAAAGUGAAAAUAACACAAACAAUAACCACAAACAAUGCUUAUACACUCGUAAUGCCAAACAAAGCCGAUACGACUCCAAAAAUAGCUCGAAUUCUNNNNNNNNNNNNNNNNNNNNNNNNNNNNNNNNNNNNNNNNNNNNNNNNNNNNNNNNNNNNNNNNNNNNNNNNNNNNNNNNNNNNNNNNNNNNNNNNNNNNNNNNNNNNNNNNNNNNNNNNNNNNNNNNNNNNNNNNNNNNNNNNNNNNNNNNNNNNNNNNNNNNNNNNNNNNNNNNNNNNNNNNNNNNNNNNNNNNNNNNNNNNNNNNNNNNNNNNNNNNNNNNNNNNNNNNNNNNNNNNNNNNNNNNNNNNNNNNNNNNNNNNNNNNNNNNNNNNNNNNNNNNNNNNNNNNNNNNNNNNNNNNNNNNNNNNNNNNNNNNNNNNNNNNNNNNNNNNNNNNNUCUUUGAACUGGUUUGCGAACAGAGAUUCCGGCUAAGGAAUUCUGUUGACCGAGGGGAAGAUAUUAGGCACCUCUCGAUCCCGUGGUUCAAACACGGUCGCUUGGUAGAGUGUAUCGACUAUUUGACACUAAGAAAUGUAUGAACCUCACAAGAAGCACGCAAAAUAAUCAAACAAAACAAAACAUCCCGAAAUGUAAAGUCCAGUCCAAUUAUUAUAACCCGAAAUAAAAGAGACUGAAAGUAAACCUACACUAAUCCUGAACUAAUCCGACGCCUCGGGCCUUCACCACGAACGUCCUCUGGGUACAUGAUACCUCGGGGCAUUCCCCGGUGAAUAAAUAUAUACAGAUACUUCGGGGCAUUCCCCGGCCAAAUUAUACAAUUGAUUCAAAAGUGCUAAAAUCAAACCAUUUCAAUCAAAUUUCAAACACUCAACCAACCCACAAUCUCUAGAUUUGCCUACCCGACCUACGUCUUGCCUAUUCCAGUCAGUGUAUCUUGAUACUACCAAAUUCAAUUAAUGUUUAUUUCAAGUCAAACAACUAAUGAAUCAAACUAAUCAAAGUUCACUAAUUAUAUCAAGUUUUCAAUUCUCGCCCACUUAUUCCCACAUGAAUUCAACUCUUUCAAUUCCUUCAUUCACGUAAAUCAAUCAAUCAAUAUCAACCACAGUAAUCGCGAUUUCUCAAACACAAUAUCGAAACAUAUCACCACGUCACAAUCAUCAACCAAACACAAUAUUCACUCCAACACAUCAAAUAUAAUAAACAUGAAAUAAAAGAGGGGGAAUAGAAUUGGACCUCGAUUCGUAGCUUUCAAAUUCCAAUAUUAAUCGAGUGAAAAAACUGAAGACCGUGUUUGAAUAUCCCGAGCAGAACCUCAAUUUUAUUUCAAUCCACAAAUUGUUCGACGGCUCAAUGAUUAUUUUAUUCCAAAUAUCAAUCAAUCAAGAACAAGAAAAUGAAUCUGCGUGCCAAAGAACCUCGAAUCGGACACAAACUCGACCAACAACCUCAAUUUCGAACUCGAUUUAAUCACCACAUCAGACCAAAAUAUUGUAAUAACGAAAACCCAUAAUCGAUUUCACCGGAACCAAAUUCAAAGACCUAUUCGCCUAGUUUAGAAAGAACAACGACAAAAUCUAGUCCAAAAUAACAAUUGACCAAAAACAGAAUGCAAAACAAAACCCGCGCCCGACCCAAUUUCAAGCAGAACCGAACACAACCACGAUUUCGGUGGACGUUGCCGGAAUCCGAUCGCACCACCCUCCUUCCCAGUUGGUUCCCCUUUAUGCUUUGCUCCCAAUCUUUCGAUCCCUCUUUCUAUUUUGAUCUCUCUCUCACUCGAAUCUCUGUUUCUCCGAGCUUUCUCAAUCUCCCUCCGUUUUCUCCUUUUCGAUUGUGUGUAUGCGAUGAAUUGUGAAGGGAAUCUGUGUUGUUGUUGUUAUCUGGGUGAGUCUCGAUGUUGGUGAUAGAGUGUCUAAUAGAAAAUGGUCGAUUCUCGAUAUGUGCCUGAAGCUGUGUGUAUAUAAGUUGUGUUAAUGGCGAGAGCUCUCUUCUCUCUCUUGAGUGUGUGCGUAUUCUUCUGUGUAUGUUAUCUGAUGGAUCUCCCCCUCUUUCUUUUGCCAGGGUUUCCGAUCAGGUGUGUGAUAUGUUCAGUGAGAGAAUAUAUAGAUGAGAGGAUGGAUUUUUUUUUUUGUGUGUGUGUGUGAAGAAGAUGAGUGAUGUCUAUGUACUAUGGGAAUUUCAGUGAGUGAAUUCUUGUUUUUGGAAAUGGAAAAGUGGUACUGUGUAUAUAGGAGAAAAAAUGGAGGUCUCCCCUCUAUUGUGCUGUUAUGUGAAGUGUAUAUAUGAGGUGAGGGUAGGGUAGUGAGGUAGGGUAGGUGGGGUCACGUGGGGUAGAGGUAGGUGUGAUGUGUUUUAUUUUGAUUGGGUAGGUUGUUAGGAUGUGUUGUCAAUUUUUGGUUGGUUGGGUUGUUAGAAUAUUAGGAUAAAACAAAAUUAGUUAGGGGGUUGUUAUUUUUUGUCAUUUUGUGGAGGGAUUAUCACACGGGUGAGGGUACACGGUAGGAUAAGGUAAACAAUAGGUAAAAACGAUAUCGGGGAGGGACAAAAUUAGGUGUCUACAGUAGACAAAAAAUUUAGAUGGAGUUGAUAUUUCUUGUUCAGAAUACUAUAUGUCAAGAAAUUAAUGCAUUGACUCUAUUAUUAAUUAAAAAAAAUUAGAAAAAAUUGAUUAUAUAAUUUUAAAAAUACACUUUAUAAAAAUAAUUAUUUUUUCUUAAAAAUGUUAGGCCUUUGUUCGAUUUUGGCCUUAGGCCACAGAGUCGCUUGAAACGCCCCUGAGAAUAGCGUGGUGUAAGAAUAACUUAAAUAAUGGUCAGGUAUUGGGAUUGUAGAGAUUUCAUUUAAUCCCAUUAACUCCCACGAUAUUUUCACCUAUAAGAUGUUUGGUAAAAUUAAAAAGUACUUAAAAAAAAAAGUUAAAAACUGAUUAAAAGAAUCAAAAAGUGAGAAGCUGGGUACCCCCAACUUUUUACUUUUCAGAUUAAAAUUCUUUUAGGUUUGACCAAAACAUUUGUUUUUUUAUCCUCUAUAUUUUUUAUCAUCUUUUUUCUUUGUUUUCAUCGAAAUCAUCAUUAAUCGGAGGUUUGUUCAAAAAUUUUAUUUUAAAAUUAAAAAUUAUACAUAAUUCACCUUAUUUAUGGUGUUAACAACUUUAAGGACAUUUAAGUCAUUUUAACAACAAAAAAGUACUUCACAUCACUUGUUUAUCAAACAUAUCAACAAUUUUUCUUUAGUUUCAGAAUUUCUAUCCAAACACUUAUUUGAUUAAUUUAUAAGACUUAUUUUAAGCUUUUAAUCACUUAAACUAAAUUUUUUUUUUAAUCUUAUCCAAACGGGCUCUAAUCUGUUUGGAUAGAAUUAAAAUCUAAUCAAAUUAGAUUUUAAUUUAUUUUUUUUUAGUUUUUUUAGGUGUUUGAUAAAAUUAAAAAUUUCUUUAAAAAAAUUAAAAACGGAUUAAAGAAAAACAAAAAAUGAGAAGCUUGGACCCAAUUUUUCACUUUUUAGAUUAAAAUUCUAUUAUGUUUGACCAAACCAUUUACUUUUCUAUCCCUUAUAUUUUUCUUUAAUUCCAACAAUACCUUAAACUUAUAGCCCUUAAAUAUAUGAUUUUUCUUUCUUUUUCUCUUUGGCUCUUUUCUUCGUCUCUUUCCUCCAAUUUUCUCUUCAUCUUUAUCCUUUGUUUUCAGCAAAUCCAUUAUUACAUUGGAGAUUCGCUUAAAAAUUUCAUUUUAGAAUUAAAAAUUAUAAAUAAUUUACAUUCUUUAUGAUGUCAACAAUUUUAAGGACAUUUAAGUCAUUUUGACAACAAAAAUUUUUUUAACAUCACUUAUUUCCCAAACACCUCAACAAUUUCUUUCAGUUUCAACACUUCUAUCUAAACACUUAUCUACUUAAUUUAUAAAUACUUGUUUUAAAUUUUUAAGCGCUUAAGCUAAUCAGCUAUUUUUUUAAUCGAAGGACUCUUAGUAAACUCCCACCAUUUACUUUUCCACCUAACAUUGAGAGUGUGAUUAUUUUCUCUUUAAACAUGAUUGUUAUGAUUGUUCACCAUUGUUCUUUACCAGCAUCUGUCUUCUGGUCCUAGGAGAUUGAAUAAUUUUUUUUAUCUUUUGCUAUUUUAUCAAUUAUUGUACGAUCGAUUGUUUAAUUUGUUAUUUUGAUUAUUACUAUUAUUAAUAUUAAAGAAUUACUCUUAUUUAGAUAAUUACAUUGCUUUAGACCCCAUUCAAACAAAACUCAACUAACAUAUAAUUUGAAAAAGAAUCGUAGUUAAGGGAUCAUACACAUAUUUCAACUAAGAUAUUAGGAUAUAUAGUUAGUGGUUACCUUUUCCAGCAUUAUUAGGUUUGUUUGGUAUGGAAGCGCAAUAUUAUUUUUUAUUUUUUUCAUAUUUGGUUGGUCGAACAAAUUCUGCAAGUUCAUUAAAAAUGAGGAGUGUGAAUUUCUGAUGAGAAUAGGAAAAAAAAGUUUUAUAAAUAACAUUUCAUUAGAUUAUUUUCUUCUCACCCCAUCCCCCGCCCCACCAAAAGCCACCCCACCUCUCACACUCGAUCCUUAUUGCUUGCUUAGAAUAUUCACAAAUUUGCAAAAAAAAAAAAAAAAAAAAAAAAAAACUAAUAUCUUGAUCAAAUUGAAUUUCAAUCAAAAAAGUAAAAAGAAAGUUGAAGCUAGGGGAUCUGGUCGAAAAAUGGGCCAACACCAUCCACCUAAAGAAACUGAAAAAUUAAUUGAUUGUGAGAACAAAACUUAUUUUCAACUUUAUCUUAUUUUUAUGAUUGAGAGGGCGAUUGCUGGCAGUAGCGGAGUCACUUUUGUUCCAGGAGGUCAUCCAAACCUCCUUCGACAGAACAUUAUACUAUUUUUACAAGAUUAAAAUAUUUUUUAUGCAUAUAUAUAGUAGAUGUUGAAUUAUUAUUAGUUCAUACAUAUAUUUUUGAAUCCCUCAAUAAAAAUUUUCUCUCUGUCAUUGAUCGCGGGUCACUAAAAGGAAAAUAAAUGCAGCAUCGACCCUACCACUUGGACUAUAUCUCAAUCCCAUCAUAAUUUGUGAUUAAAGUUGUCAGUGGAAUAUUUUCAUUUUAUAAAAAAAAUAACUUUUGAGAAAUAGUUAUUUAUUUAUUUAGAUUAAUAAAGAAGGAAAUAAUAUGGGUCCUCCAUGAGGUCAAUUCAGAAAAUAAAAUAACAAGGAAAAAAAAGGGAAAAGAUAUCUAUUUGAAAUAGUUGUACUAUGUGUGAAAAAAUUUAUUGUUAUAGCUCAUUUUAAUUAACUUAGUUAAAGAUUUAAAAUCUUUUGGCUUUAAAAGAUUAAACCAUUUUAAUCUAAACAAACAUGACUUUGUAAUUAUGAUCCAUAACUAUGUAAUCUUUUGUACAGUUUCAUAUGUAUAUCAAUAUAAUUACCUUUGAUAUUGUACUUUUUAUUCGUUGAUAUGAAUUGUAUUUUUUAAUGCAAUUUGAACCAUACAAAAAUAUAAAGUACAAAUUAUAUACAUUGAUAUGGAUUAUAUUUAUUGAUAUAACUUGUACCAUACAAAUACAAAUAAUAAAUUUAUAUUAAGUGAUAUAUUUAUAUUUGUAUAUGAUAGGCUCAAACAAAUAAAAAUGAUGCGAAAACUUAUUUAUAUAUAAAUACAAAUAAUACAAUAUAUAUACUGACUGUAGAACCACCCAAAUAUACAAAUGAUAAAUUUAUAUCAAAUGAUAAAUUUGAGAAAGAGAUGAAAAUAUAAAGUAUAAAGAGUGAGAGAAAGGUGAAAUACAAAUUAUAAUAUAUAAAAAAAAAAUAGAACGAGGAAGACAAAUAAACAAAACAAAAGAGAAAAGAGAGAAUCCGGGAAAAAGGCGAAUGAGAUUAGGAGAGAGGUGAGAGAAAUCUUUGUUUUUGUUUAGCAUCUCAAAUAGUACUAUAUUUCUCCGUUUCAUUUUAAUUCACCCUUUUUGACUUAGCAUAUUUUUUAAAAAAUUAUUUAAUAGAGUCUUAUUUUACUAAAAUAAUUUUAUUAAUUAUACAUUAAAAAUAUAAAUUUGAAUAAAUAUACUUUAUUUAAUUAUUUAAUGUUGAGGGUAAUAUUAGAAGAACACAAUAAAAUUUUCUUGAUUUCAUCAAAAGGACAACUAAUUUGAAACAAAAUUUUUUAGAAAAAGGAUCAACUAAAACGAAACGAAGGAAGUAUUAGUUAUGAAUUGUAAGUAGCAAAUCGUUGUUAAGGAGAGAUAAUUUUUGUCAUCAAGUUUGCUAUUUUGGAAAAUUCCAUUUUAACUAAUUCAUAUUUUAUCCAAUUCAUUUCAACUAAUAUUUAUAUGGAUAGAAUGUAAUUCAAUUUAUUUUAACUCAUUUCAUUUUCAAUUCGCGUAUUAACCACCACCAACUUGCACUUAGUGAUUAUUGUAUCAGAAAGGGCCUAUUAUUGUUCAUACAUGAGUAUAUCCAGAAAUAUCAACCACUUCUUUUUAGUGUACAAUAAUAUUACUUUCUCUUUCCUCUUAUUGCUACACAUAUUACAUUACUCAGAAAAAUCAAGAAUCACCAAAAAAACGAAAAAUGGAAAAAUCACAUGAGAAUGAGCAUCCAAUUAAGGCAUUUGGAUGGGCAGCUAGAGACACUUCUGGUGUUCUUUCUCCUCUCAAUUUUUCAAGAAGGUACAAAUUGAUUCAUUAUUUUUAUGGAUUCUUUGGUUUGAAAAUUAUAUCAUCUCCGUCUUAAUAUAUGUGACACAUUUUUUUUAAAUUAGUUCCAAAAAGAACGUCACCUUAUGAUAAUUAGAAAUAAUUUAGCUUGAAACAUUAUAAUUUAUAACCGUACAAAUAUCUCAAGAUUGUUUUAGUUCACAAGUUUCAAAAGUUCUCUUGUUUUCUUAAACACCGUGUCAAGUGAAAUGAUGCCACAUAUAAUGAGACAGAGGAAAUAAUAGAUGUUUAAGGUGGUCUGCGUACACGUUUACCCUUCCUAAAUCACACUAAGUGAAAUUAUACUGAAUAUGUUAUUAUCGUUGUAAUUUAAUUUGGGUUGAAAUGGAUGAUGAUUGAUGCAGGAUGACUGGUGAAAAAGAUGUGCAGUUCAAAGUAUUAUAUUGUGGAAUUUGUCAAACUGAUCUUCAUUAGAUCAACAAUGAUUGGGGCAUCACCAAAUAUCCUAUUGUACCUGGGCAAGUUUACUCUUUAAUGCAUUCUUUAUUUUACUUUUUAUGUUCUUUAUUUGUGAUCGCCAAAAUUUUUUAUUGUGCAUAUAGGUAACAAAAACUUGUAAGAAGCGUUGAAUCGAUUUUACAUUAGAGAAUUUUCUAGUGUAACUUUCUGAAUUAUUAUAGAUGUAGCUGUAUUUCCGCUCAUUACAAAAUGAUAGAUUAUACCUAGAAUAUAUACACAAAGCUAGAUACAAAAAGGUCAAGAUCAGAUCCCUCAUAUCGUGCUUUUUACCUACAAUAUGUGACUAUGUGUACCUACAAUAUUUGACUGUGUAUCUAACACAAUCUAACAAUUGAUAUACUUUGACAAAUAUCUUGACAUUGGUAUCUGACUAUCUUAUCACUCCCCCUCAAGUUGGAGCUACAUGUCCUAUGCUCCGAACUUGCCACAAAUGUAUCUAAUCCGAGCUCCUCUAAGGGACUUAGUCAAAAUAUCUGCCAAUUGAUCAUUUGAACCGACGAAGCUAGUGGCCAUACAUCCGGAUUCAAUCUUCUACCUAAUAAAAUGACAGUCCACUUCUAUAUGUUUCGUUUUUUCAUGGAAAACUGAAUUUGAGGCAAUAUGUAGGGCGGCCUGAUUGUCAUAUAUAAACCUCAUCUGUUUGAAUUCAACACAUUUUAACUCUUGGAGAAGUUGUUUCAACCAAUUAAGCUAGCAUGUAACAAGGGCCAUAGCUCGAUAUUCAUCUUCCACAUUAGAUCUGGCAACAACAUCUUGCUUCUUACUUUUUCGAGAAAUUAAAUUGCCUCCAAUCAUGACGCAAUACCCAAACGUAGAGCGUCUAUCUAUUGGAGAACCUGCCCAAUCCGCAUUAGAAUAUCCAACAAUGUUUCUGUGACCUUUGUCUUAAUAUAUCAAUCCUUCUCCUGGAGCUCUUUUGACAUAUCGGAGGAUGCGAAUUACUGCAUUCCAAUGAUCUUGACAUGGAGCUUGGAGAAACUGACUAACCACACUUACUGCAAAUGAAAUAUCCGGGCGUGUGAUAGUGAGAUAAUUCAGUUUACCGACCAAUCUUUUAUAUCUACCGGGAUCUUUCAGUGGCCUCCCUUGUCCAGGGACGAGUUUAAUGUUUGGAUCCAUAGAAGUGUCAAUCGAUUUGCAAUUUAACAUGCAUGUCUUUUUUAAUAUGUCUAAAGCAUAUUUUCUUUGUGAGAUAGCAAUACUUGUCUUGGAUUGUGCUACCUCAAUUCCCAAAAUAUACUUUAACUUCCCCAAAUCUUUGGUUUGAAUGUGACUGAACAAAUGUUGUCAACAUAAACGACCAAAUAUGACAAUGUCGUCAACAUAAACGACCAGAUAAAUGUUCUUUUCUGGACCAUUAUGUCAAUAGAACACAAAGUGGUCUGCUUUACUUUGAGACAUGCCAAAUUGUUGGACGACAAAACUAAAUCUGCCAAACCAUGCCCUUGGAGAUUGCUUGAGGCCAUAUAGAGAACGUUUGAGACUGCAAACGAAGUCUGACUCCCCCUGAGCAACAAAUCCAGGAGGUUGCUCCAUAUAAACUUCCUCAGCAAGUUCACCAUGCAAAAAUGCAUUCUUAAUAUCUAGUUGAUGAAGCGGCCAAUGAUGCAUUGCUGCCAAGGAGAUAAUCAAGCGAACAGAUGCAAUUUCCGAAACUGGAGAGAAUGUAUCACCAUAGUCAAGAUCAUAAAUCUGGGUCUACCCUUUGGCAACAAGGCGAGCUUUUAGUCGAUCAACUGUUCCAUCCAAACCCACUUUUACCAUAUAGAUCCAUCGACUUCCAACAGUAGAUUUUCCCUUCGUUAACUGGACCAACUCCCAAGUGUUAUUGGUCUGUAAAAUAUUCAUUUCUUCGAUCAUAGCAUCUCUCUACCCUGGAUGUUCUAGUGCUUCACUAAUAGUUUUUGGUACAGGUACAUUAAAUAUGGUAUACACAAAGGUAUAAUAUAAUAGGGACAACCGAUGAUAACUUAAACAGUUAUAUCUUUAUGGUUGUUGAUUUUGUGUAGUACGUAUACCUUUGCGUAUGGCAAUUGGUGGGGUCACUGCAUCUGAUGAAGGCAUGACGGGAGAAGGUGAUGACGGAGCAAGACAUGAGUCAUCGGGAGCGACCAAUGUAUCAGGACUAGGAGUAGUGCUAUAAUUAUCAUUGUUAAGAGGACGAGCAGGCCGAGUGUAUACUUGUAGAGGAAGAGCGUUUUGAGGGUUUUCUGAAAUAGGGACUUGUUGUAGAGGAAGUAUAGGUACUGACAAAACUUGAGGAAUUAAACUUCUGCUUAUAGUGCUUGGUAUAAAAUAGGGAGAUGUUUCAAAAAAUGUCACAUCUGCACUAAUAAAAUAUUUAUUUAUUUUUGGAUCAUAGCAUUUGUAACCUUUUUGGUGACAAGAGUAUUCUAGAAAGGCACACUUCAUUGAUUUUGGUUGGAGUUUGUCAUUUCUAGUACUUUGAUCAUGGACAAAGCAAACACAUCCAAACACUCUCAAAGGUAAAUGAUAAGGAUUUUGACCUGGAAAAAGAAUUGAGUGAGGACUUUGUUGUUGCAACACAGUGGAGGGCAUUCUAUUGAUCAAAUAACAAGCAGCGAGAACAACAUUUCCCCAAAAACAAAGAGGAACGUGAUGGUGUAUAAGUAAAGUACGAGCAGUUUCGAUGAGAUGCUUAUUUUUACAUUCGGUGACUCCAUUUUGUUGAGGAGUAUAUACACAAGAUGUCUGAUGAGUGAUUCCUGAGACAACAUGAAACUAGAAAAGGGAGAAGAUAAGUACUCUUUGGCAUUAUCACUGCGUAAUACCUUUAGAAACACCAAAUUGAUUAUUUAUCUCAGCACAAAAUUUUUGAAAAAUAAAGAAUACUUCAGAAUGAUUUUUCAUCAAAUAUACCCAUGUGCAACGGGAGAAGUCAUUAAUAAAGAUAACAAAAUACUGAAUCCUAGACUUAAAACGACACGACUAGGACCCCAUAUAUCUGAGUGAACAAUGUCAAAUAUACAUGUGGGCCCUGUUAUUGACACUUUUGGAAAAUGAAGUAUGACUAUAUUUCCCAAGUUGACAUGACUCACAUUCAAAAGAAGACAAAGAGAAAAGACUAGGGAUUAACUUUUGAAGUUUUGCGAGACUCGGAUGACCAUAACGGCUGUGGAGAAAAUCAACUAAGGAAGCAGAAGUGAAGGCAACUGGUGGUGGAGAUUUUGACAUGUGAUAUAGUCCCUGUUACUCAUAUCCUAUUUCAAUCGUCUUCCCCGUUCUCUAGUCCUGUACAACAACAGAGUUCGCCAAAAAAGUGACACCAUAAUUUAGGUGCUUGAUUAAUUUGCUUAUAGAUAUCAAAUUAAAUGGACAUUCAGGAGCAAAUAAAGAUGAGUUUAAGGAAAUAGAAGGAAGAAGUUGCACGUCCCCUAUUCCUUUUACUGCAGUUCAUGAUCCAUUAGCAAGGGUAACUGCGGAGAGGGUUGUGGAAUGAAUAAGAUUUGAGAAAAGAUUUUGAUUACCAGAGAUAUGGUCAGAUGCACUAGAAUCCACUAUCCAUGGGCAAGUGGGUGAAGACCUGGUUAGACAAGCAAAGGAAUUACCAAUUUGUGGGGUGCUAGCUAAAGGUGAUUGUUGCGUAGCCGCUUGAUACUGCAAGUAAUCAUUAUAAUCUGCUCCAGAAAAAGUAAUAGAAUUAGACAGUUGACCCUCUAUAUCUUUACGGAUCUGAGCCACAUGAGCUGUACUACAAUUGUUAAUACGUUGUGGUCGACCAUGCAAUUUCCAACAAGUCUGUCGAGUAUGGCCUAGCUUGUUGCAAUAGUUGCAAUAGGGUCUAGAGUUUCUAAUGUUUCUCCUUUGCUGGACAUUUUGUUCCUGUGAGUUCUCAUUUUUCACAGCUAAUACAGAUGUCUCAACGUUAUUGGUAUCAUUUGUUUUUGAACUAAUACACAACAAUGGAGCUGAAACGUCGAUUACGGAAGGAACUGAUGAACUUGCCAAGAUUUGAUCCCUUAUAGGACUCAAAUCAGAUCGAAGUCCUUUUAGUGCUAGAACCAUCAAGAACUUAUCUCUUUGUUGCUCCUGAUGAGAGAGUCAAAUUAAUCUUUCAAGGUAUUGAUUUGUCCUAAAUAACUCGCCAUAUCUUCAUUAUUCUGCUGAAGUUGGACCAAGUCUGAGACAACCUUGUAUAUGCGUUGUAUGUCAUUCAUAUACAAAGUCUUAGCUUUAGUCCAAACUUUAUAGCAAUUUUUACAAGAUUGAAAUAGAUUAAGUUAGGAUCCAAAGAAUUUCAUACGAGAUUGCAUAAUUGAGAAUCAAUUUGAGUCCACUUAGUCCUUUCACUAGUAACAAUAUCACUAGUAUUUUUAAAUGAUCCUCAUAUCCUUAUCCCAUAAACCAUAUCUCGACAGAUGAAGACCAUGGUGUGUAAUUAUUACUACCUUCCAAUUUUAUGGUAGUUAUAAUAGGAGAACUUGAAAUAGAGGAAAACAUGGAUUUGAAAUUUCCUGAAGAUUCAGUUUUCUAUGAGACACUAGUUAGAGAUUCACCUUUCUCUGACAUUAUGGCUUCAACAACUAACUGAAAUUCUAAAAAAAUGAGUUACAAAAAAAAGAAUUUUUUUUUGGUUAAUAGAACUUGAAACAAAGGAAAUAAAAGAACAAGGUUCCUCUUGGUGACUAAAGAUCUUGUAGAACUAUUUCUAUCUUAAAUGAACAAGAGCUACGCCAGAAAAAGGAAGAAACAGUCGAUGAAGAUGACUCGUUUUACUGAAAAUUAUAUGAGUGAUGGGUAAGAUUAGAAUAAACGAUUGGACCUCAUAAACUCAGAAUGACAGUUUGACAUGGUCAGGAAAACCUACAGGAAGUGCUGCUAGUAAAGGAAGAAGCUGGAAUAGUUAUGGAAAAUCUAUCAAAACAGUCACCGAAAAAGGCAACUUGAGCCUCUACAAAGACAACAGGAAUCUCUGAUACCAUAUUACAGAUGUAGCUGUAUUUCAGCUCAUUACAAAAUGAUAGAUUAUACCUAGAAUAUAUACACAAAGCUAGGUACAAAAAGGUCAAUAUCAGAUCCCUAAUAUCCUGCUCUUUACCUACAAUAUGUGACUAUGUGUACCUACAAUAUUUGACUAUGUGUAUCUAUAACACAAUCUAACAAUUGAUAUACUUUGACAAAUAUCUUGACAUUGGUAUCUGACUAUCGUAACAUGAAUAAAUCCAAUAAAAUGCUUCAAUAUUUUUAAGGGAUCCAUGCAAUUUAAAUUUGGACCAUAUUGUAAAUAUUUAAACCUCAAAAAUAAUUAUGUAAAUACUAGAGUGGACCCGUUCAUAUUACAAAUGGGCAGGACAGUUCGAUGCACUAAGCUCCCACUAUGCAUGGGGUCAGUGAAGGAUCGGACUACAAAAAUCUAUUGAAUGCAACCUUAUCCUACAUUUCUGCAAGAGUAUGUUUCCACUUUUCACAGCUUGAACCGGUUACCUCUUUUGUCAUUCAUAUUACAAAUGUAUGGAGGAAUUGAUUAACAAGAAACUUAUGUGUUGGAGGUCAAUAUAGUUUUGAAUUUAUGAAGUCAAUAUAGUUUUGAAUUUAUGAAAUCAAAAUUAUGUCAAUCUCAAUUGUUUUUGCAAGCAUGAAAUUGUUGGUGUGGUAACUGAGGUUGGUAACAAGGUAGACAAGUUUAAAGUCGGAGAAAAAGUAGGUGUUGGAUACUGAUGUUGCAUUUUUUAAUAUUAUCAUAAUCCUAAGUGUUGCACUACUCCUUUAUCAUAAUUAUAGUGGUGUACUCAACAAUAUUAUCAUAAUCCUAAGUGUUGCACUACUCCUUUAUCAUAAUUAUAAUGGUGCACUAAACAAUUCUUAAUGCCAUGCACUCCUAGAAUUGGUUUUCUUUUAUAUAUAUAUUCAUCAUUAAGCCAUUAUAUAUACAUCCUAACAAUUGUUUUAUUGGUCUGAGAAAACAAAGAGAAAUCUAACAAUCUACGUUGUAUUAUUCAUAUUAAAGAGAGUUUGCUAGUUGAAGGGAGGUGUUCUUUUAGUGGAGCUUUGAAUUCAAUUCUUGUCUAGAGUUGUAGAGUUAUUGUGAGAAGACUGUUGUAUCCUGGAGGGGACAAGUCAAAAGGAUAACUGCUGGACCGGUGAAACACUUGCUGCAGUGGGCUUGAAUCUCCUUAAAGAGAGCAAGAUAUCCGUGCCUCAGCCAAAGAAGAAGAAGAUAAUUUUUUCUUAUUUUCUUCACUUGUAAUUUUCAGUUGUAUUAUUAUUGUAAUUUCACCAACAAUUUUAAGAAAAUUCAAAUGACAACAACUGAAAAAUCCAUGGAUGUCAAGAUAGGAGAUCUUAACAAGUCAUUCUGGUUCAACGAGACUCACUUCAAGAGGUGGAAGGGUAAAGUGUUUUUCUAUUUGAGUUUUCUUGAUGUCUCUUACAUUUUAACUGCGAAGAAUCCAAGCAAAGUAGAUAACUCUUCUAUGAGUGAUGAAGAACUCAUUUCUCUUGAAGAGAAAGUGAAAAAAUACAACAAUGACUCCUGUAAGUAUCGGUAUUUUUUACUUAAUAGUCUGUCUGAUAUUUUUAUGAUUAUUAUGAUAAAACUUACUCUAGUGAAAAAAAAAAUUUAAAAAGCAUUGUAGAGUAAGUAUGACACUGAGGAGGCGGGAGCGAAAAAAUAUGCGGCUAGCAGAUUUUUCAGUUUCCAAAUAGUGGACGACAAAUUAACGGUAGACCAAGUUCAAGACAUUAUAAUGAUCGUUGGCGAACUUAGGUCCGAAGAAGUCAAAAAUGGAGAUAACCUUAUUGUUUGUGGCAUAAUUGAUAAACUUCCACCUUUGUGGAAAGAAUUUCAAGAAACUAUGCGCCACAAGCAAAAGGAAACUUCUCUUGAGACUUUGAUAAUGAGAAUCCGCAUGGAAGAAGAAGCAAGGGGCCAAGAUGUACUUAUGCAAAUAGAAGAGAACAACAUCACACCGAAGGUAAAUUUAACUUCAAGUAAUGCUACCCCUGAACCUAACAAAAAUACUAUUUUGAAGCCUAAGAAGAAAAAAUUCAAGAAAAAUAAUGGUAGACAUCUCAAAAAUAAUAAUGGUGGAAACAACCAAACAAACAAAUCAACAUUUACAAGAAAAAGGACCAUGCUUUGUCUAUGGCAAGAGUGAGAAUAUUGCUCGAUUUUGCAGGUAUUAGAAACGUGGGCCUACACCUCAGGAAAAUGUUACCGAAGAACCAUUUGUGGCAGUGAUAACAGACAUAAACAUGAUGGUGAAUGUUGAUGGAUGGUGGGCUGACUCUGGUGCAAACCGUCAUGUCUGUUAUGACAAAGACUGGUUUAAAAAAUAUACAAAAUUUGAGGAGCCCAAAACCAUCAUGGUUGGAGAUUCACACACAAUUCAAGUACUUGGAAUGGGAGAUGUCGAAUUGAGAUUUACUUCUGGAAGGGUAUUAAUCUUAAAAGAUGUACUUUAUAUUCCUUCUAUGAGAAAAAUUUUGAUGUCUAGUUUUCUUCAUAAUAAAGCAGGUUUCAAACAGAUUAUUGAAUCUAGCCAAUAUGUAAUUGUUAAAAAUAAUAUUUUUGUGGGAAAAGGGUAUGCAUAUGAUGGUAUUUCAAGUUGAGUGUUGAAAUGAAUAAAACAUCUACUUUUGUUUACAUGCUUUCUUCUACUAAUUUUUGGCGUACUCGUUUGUGUCAUAUAAAUGAUCGUUAUAUGGGAAUCAUGAGUAGUUUAGGAUUAAUUCCAAUGAUCAAAAAGAACUUUGAAAAAAUGUGAGGCUUGUAGUAAAGCCAAAAUCACAAGAAGGCCUCAUUUUCAAGUUUAAAGUAAAACUGAAUUAUUAGAAUUAAUUCAUACUGAUAUUUGUGAACUUGGUGUAAUUUUAACUCGUGGAGGAAAUAGAUAUUUUAUCACUUUUAUUGAUGAUUUUUGUAAGUUUACAUAUGCUUACUUAAUCAAAAAUAAAAGUGAUUCUUUUGAGAAUUUUAAAACUUUUCUCCAUGAAGUUGAAAAUCAGUUUAGUAGAAAAAUAAAAAGAAUAAAAAGUGAUAGAGGCCGUGAAUAUGAGUCACAUGAGUUCAAUUCUUUUGUUAGAUCAUUGGGUAUAAUUCAUCAAACUACUCCUCCUUAUUCUCCUGCAUCUAACGGUGUAGCGGAAAGGAAGAAUAGAACUUUGGUUGAGUUAACUAAUGUCAUGUUAAUUGAGUCUUGUGCACCUUUAAGUUUUUGGGGUGAAGCUCUUUUGACUGCUUGUUAUGUGUUGAUUUGUGUGCCUCAUAAAAGGACCAAAUUAACGUCUUUUGAAUUGUGGAAAGGUCAUAGCCAAAUUUGGGAUAUCUAAGAGUUUGGGGUUGCUUAGCCUAUGUAAGGUUAAUGGAUCCUAAAAUCUCUAAGUUGGGUAAAAAAGUUACUACUUGUGCUUUCCUUGGUUAUGCUUCAAAUAGUACGGCCUAUAGAUUUUUUAAUAUUGAAGAUAGUGUGGUAAUAGAAUCAGGUGAUGCUAUUUUUCAUGAAAAUAAAUUUCCUUUUGAUUCUAAAAAUAGUGGGGGUCAUGGGACUGAAAAAAUAUUUUGUUACCACCUAAUUCUUCUACCUCUACUUCAAAAAAUAAAGAAAAUGAUUUUGAGUUAAGAAGUAAACGAGCUAGAGUAGAAAAAGACUUUGGUCCUGAUUAUUAUAUUUUUAACGUUGGAGAUGACCCUAUCACUUUAAAAGAAGUUUUGCCUUCACAUGCUGCUAUUUUCUGAAAAGAGGCUGUAAAUGAUGAAAUGGAAUCGCUAAUUUCCAAUAAAACUUGGAAGCUAGUUGAUUUACUAUCGGGUUGUAAAAUAAUUGGAUGUAAAUGGGUCUUACGUAAAAAAUUAAAAUCGAAUGGAUCUGUUGAUAAAUAUAAAGUUAGGCUAGUGGCUAAAGGUUUUAAACAACUAGAAGGCCUAGAAUUUUUUUAUACUUUUUCACCAGUAACUAGAAUUACAUUCAUUAGACUUUUAAUUGCUAUUGCGGCAAUAUUUGAUUUACAAAUUCAUCAAAUGGAUGUAAAAACUGCUUUUUAAAUGGAGAUCUAAAUGAGGAGAUUUACAUGGAAUAACCCGAGUGGUUUGUUGAGGCUGGUCAAGAAAGAAAAGUGUGUAAACUUAAUAAAUCCCUAUAUGGCUUGAAACAGGCACCAAAGCAAUGACAUGAAAAGUUUGAUUUCUGCAUAAUUAAUAAUGGGUUUAAAACAAAUGAGUGUGAUAAGUGUAUAUUUCAUAAGUUUUGGAAUAAUUCAAAUGUUAUUAUUUGCCUAUAUGUUGAUGAUUUAUUGAUCUUUACUCAAAAUGAAUAUUAUUGAUGAAACUAAAAGUAUUCUUAGAAGCCAUUUUGAAAUGAAAGAUCUUGGUGAGACAAAUUUUAUUCUAGGAAUAAAAAUUACUAUAACAUGUGAUGGAUUUUCCUGACCAGUCACAGUAUGUUGAGACAAUAUUGAAAAAAUAUAAUUUUCUUGAUUGCAAGUAUGUUGUAACUCCAUUUGAUUCUAGUGUUCACUUGUUUCCUGUUAAAAGUGAAAAUGAUGUAAUAAAUCAAAAGGAAUAUGCGAGCAUAAUUGGAAGUUUGAGAUAUGUGACCGAUUGCACUAGGCCUGAUAUUGAAUAUGUAGUAGGAGUACUUAGCAGGUUUACUAGAAAGCCAGGUAAUGAACAUUUGCAUGCUAUAAUCAGAGUAAUGAGAUAUUUAAUUGGAACGAAAAAAUUAUGGUUUGUCCUAUAAUAAAUAUCCUGAUGUACUUGAAGGCUUUUGUGAUGAGGAUUGGAACACUUUAUCAGGUGAUUCCUUAUAAACUAUUGGUUAUGUGUUUACUUUUGGUGGCGGUGUUAUUUGUUGGAAGUCAAAAAAGCAAACAAUUAUUGCUAACUCUACCAUGGAGGCUAAAUUAAUUGCUUUAGCUUCAGCUAGUAAGGAAGCGAAUUGGUUGAGAGAUUUGUUAUUUCAAAUACCUUAUUUUGAAAAAUCAAUUCCUUCUAUUUUAAUUCACUGGGAUAGCACCAUUGCAAUUGGUAGAGUUUAAAAUCGUUAUUACAAUGGUAAAUCCAGACCUAUACGGAGAAAACACAGUAAUGUGAGAUCAUAUUUGACAAAUGGUACUAUUAAUGUUGAUUAUGUCAAAUCUUGUGAUAAUCUUGCAGAUCCGUUGACUAAAGCUUUAGCAAGAGAAAAGGUCUGGAGCACAUCAAGGGGGAUGGGAUUGAAGCCUAUUUAAUCUUGAGUCAUAUGUGAGGAAACCCAACCUAGGGACUAGAGAUCCUAUAACCAGGUUUAAUGGAAAACACAAAUCACAUGAUGACUUGUUGUAAAAAAUGCACUAUUUAUUUAUCCCUUCCUAUGAUGUGAGUGCAUUGGCCUAUAAUAAUUGUGAGGUUGAGUUUAUUAAACUUUUAAUGAAUAUCUGUAGCUCAUAUGAGUGGGGUGCUAAAUUACAGGAGCACUCUCGACAAAUUUCACUUUUGUGCGUGUGGAGGUAGGACGCUUUCUAUGAGAAUUAGGCUCAUUCUCAAAAGACACUCAUUAAAAUCGAGAUAGCACAAGACCGUAAUGUGCUAGCUAUAAAACUCAUGUCAACACCUUGACUAUUAUAUGUAAGCAGUAACUUUUUAUUUCCCUUAAGUAGUCAUAGUUCAAGCUUGAGACCACUACGACUCUGGAGUAAAAAUUACUGUUUUACUAAGUAAAGGUUCAAUGCAGAGCACACCUUCAUUAUGCAUGGUAGUAUUUCUUCAACUAUUGAACUCGCUUUUUAAUAUUACAAAAAUGAGUGGGGAAUUGAUGUUGCAUUUUUUAACAUUACCAUAAUCCUAAGUGCUGCACUACUCUUUAUCAUAAUUAUAGUGGUGCACUCAACAAUAUUAUCAUAAUCCUAAGUGUUGCACUACUCCUUUAUCAUAAUUAUAGUGGUGCACCAAACAAUUCUUAAUGCCAUGCACUCCUAGAAUUGGUUUUCUUUUAUAUAUAUACAUAUAUAGUCAUCAUCAAGCCAUUAUAUAUACAUCCCACCAAUUGUUCUAUUGGUUUGGGAGAACAAGGAGAAAGCUAACAAUUUACGUUGUAUUAUUCAUAUUAAAGAGAGUUUGCUAGUUGAAGGGAGGUGUUCUUUUAGUGGAGCUUUGAACUCAACUCUUGUCUAGAGUUGUUGAGUUAUUGUAAGAAGGCUAUUGUAUUCUAGAGGGGACAAGUCAAGAGGAUAACUGCUGGACCGGUGAAACAUUUGCUGCAGUGGGCUUGAAUCUCCGUAAAGAGAGCGAGAUAUUUGCGCCUCAACCAAAGAAGAAGAAGAUAAUUUUUUUUAUUUUCUUCACUUGUAAUUUUCAGUUGUAUUAUUAUUGUAAUUUCACCAAUAGAUACUUAGUAGGAUCAUGUCGAAAAUGUGAGACAUACUUAACACUGUUGGGUUCAAUAUGUAUGAACAAUGUGUGAAUGGAAAAUGAAGGGACAAAACCUUUGAGGAAAACACAUAUUGUUUUGGAAAAGGAGUGACUAUUUAGAUAGUUGUGUCAUUUCAGAAAAAGACACAAUAUUUCAAAUGAAUAGACAUGACUCUUCCAAAGGAUACUCCUUUUCAGAUGAACCAUUUCCACCUUUGGAAAGGGCAUUUGAUGGCUAUAUAAACCUGGAUUUAUCCACAGGUUUAGGCAUGAAAAAUUUUCUAAAUAUACAAACUCUUCUUGUCUUCAAAACAUUCCGUGUGAUCAAUCAAAUCGUUAAGUGAGUUCGAAGAGAUUUCAAUUGUUUGAGGUACCGAUACAGUUGGUUUGUUUGGCCAGUUUAUCUUGGGAGGAAAAUUCCACAACUUCGAGUACUUGAGGGGAAUUAUUUCCUUAAGGACACUCCGUAAAUUUGGAGGACUUGGUCAUUUCUGUUUUAUCUUAAUUUCUGAAAAAUAAAACAGACUUCUUUGAAAGAUUAUUUUGAUCUUGUGUUGAGGGUGUUGUUAUACUUCAUAGUGUUCUUGUUUUAAACUUGAACUAGUGUUGAAGUAGUGUUGCGAAAAUACAGAUUGUGUGUAACCGAAAAACUACCAUCUUAAGGAAAUAAAUUUUGAAAAAGAAAGAAAAAAAUAUUUUUUUUCUUGUUUCAUGAAAUUUUCUUUUCACUGAAGUUUUUUUUUUCAGAAUUUGUAUUACUUGGUUUUGGAGAUUAAAGCUUUAAGAUUUCUACUCCGUUUGAACUUAACUAGUGAUUCGAAGACAUAAAAUCUUCAUCACAAGUUAAAGAUCACUCGGUUGACGAUUGAAAGUCAUAAAAACUUCAUCGUUAACUAGAAACAAGAAGAAAAGUUUAAAGUUGCUUAACUUUAUAAGUACUAUUCCAAAAAUACUAAAUUUUAUUGUCUUGUGGUGACAGAAAAAAUGACUAAUGAAAGUCAAAUGAAAGAUGCAACAACGACUGUGGGGGCAACUAAUAUUGCUUCAACAAGUCGAGUAAAUGCUCUACAACCAAUGGCACCUACGGAGAAGCCCAAAAAAUUUGCGGGCAUUGACUUUAAGCGAUGGUAGCAGAAGAUGUUCUUCUACCUCACAACACUAUGUAUUCAAAGGUUCACUAGUGAGGAUGCUCCUGAGGUUCUUGAGGGACCCUCGGACAAAGAGUGUUUCAUAAUUGUAGAGGGUUGAAAACACUCGGACUUCCUUUACAGGAAUUAUAUAUUGAGUGGUCUCCAAGACGACCUCUACAAUGUUUACAGUGAAACUAAGACAUCGAAGGAAUUAUGGGGGGAACUAGAACAACAGAGGAUGUGGGAAUUAAGAAGUUCUUUGUUCCAAGGUUCCUAAACUUUAAAAUGAUAGAUAGUAAAUCGGUUGUCUCUCAAGUGCAGGAAUUGCAAGUAAUCAUCCACGAUCACCUAGUCGAAGGUAUAUCUUUGAAAAAUACCUUAGUUGAACAAAUUGAAAAUGUUCUAAGUACUCACAUAAACUGUAUUGUAGGUUUGAUUGUGAAUGAUGUAUUUCAAGUAGCAGUGAUAAUAGAGAAGCUACCACCUAUGUGGAAAGACUUCAAAAACUACUUGAAGCACAAAUGCAAGAAGAUGACUGUCGAAGAUCUUACUAUCCGACUGCGUAUUGAAGAGGAUAAUAAAGCUAUCUAGAGAAGGUCAAAAGGGAAUUCUACAAUCAAUGGAGCACAUAUUGUAGAAGAUGACCAAAAAAAUUCUAAGAAAAGGAAGAAAGUUGAAUGAGGAAGCAAUCAACCAAAGAAGAAGUUCAAGAGAAAGUGGUUCAACUGUGGCAAGAUUGACCACAAGUCCAUGGAUUGUCGUUCCCCUAAGAAAGGCAAUAAAAAGGACCAAGCAAAUAUGAUUGAGUCCAAUAAAGAAUGUGAUGAUCUGUGUGCUAUGUUUUCAGAAAGCAACUUGGUGGGGAAUCCUCGCGGGAGGUGGAUGGAUUCUGGUGUCACCCACCAUUUUUGUGCCAAUAAAGAGUUGUUUUCAUCAUUCGGUCUGGCUCAAGUAGAAGAAAUGAUCUACAUGGAUAACUACGCUAUGACUAAGGUAGAAGGAACAGGAAAACUGGGCUUGAAAAUGACUUCAGGAAAGGUCUUGACACUUAAUAAUGUCUUGUACGUUUCGAAAUUACGUAGGAACUUAAUUUCUGUUUCACUUCUAAACAAGAACGGAUUCAAAUGUGUAACCAUUUCUGGAAAAAUUAUAAUUAGCAAAGGAGAAGUGUAUGUAGGAAAGGCUAUCUCACCGAGGGCCUUUAUAAGAUGAAUGUAAUGAAUGUUAAAAUCAAUAAAAGUUUAAAUUCUUCUUACUUGCUUGAGUCUUAUAAUUUGUGGCAUGAACGUUUAGGUCAUGUUAAUUACAAAACAUUAUGAAAACUGAUUAACUUAGAAGUUUUACCAAACUUUGAGUGCAAUAAAUCAAAGUGUCAAACGUGUGUGGAAUCAAAAGUAUGCAAACAUCCUUAUAAGUCCGUUGAAAGAAAUUUCAAUCCCUUAGACUUAAUACAUACUGACAUUUGUGAUAUGAAGUCAACACCAUCACGGGGUAAGAAAAAAUAUUUCAUAAUGUUUAUUAACGAUUGCACUAGAUAUUUUUAUGUCUACUUGCUAAAUAGUAAGGAUAAAGAAAUAGAUGCGUUUAGGCAAUAUAAAAAUGAAGUUGAAAAUUGUAGACACCUAAUUUCGUCCCUCCCGAAGACCCUAAUUACACAUUUUUAUCCCUGUGUUACCACGUGCCCUCACCCAUAUGAUUAUAUCCCAUAAAAAUACAAAAAUAACAAACCCACUAACAAACCUAAUCCCCAAUUAUUAUUUUGUAACAAAAUUAACCACUCCUUCUAUCAAUUUUGAACAACACAUCACUACCCCAUGCCCCCAUACCCUACCCCACCUACCCUACCCCAAUACCCCACCCACGUGACCCUCACAAUAAAAGAAAACACACACAUACUCUAAAAAGGGAAUGCUGGACUAUCAAAAACCAAAAAAAAAAAUAGCCGCAUCAGCUAUCUCUCUCUCGGUCUACGAUCUCUCUCUCUUCCUCUAUCCUAUCUGGCCGUCGAUGGGCGGAGCACCACGACAGUUACCCCCAAUUACUAACGCCAUCAUCAUCGCACCGCCUUUCACCCAAGAAAGCUAGCACGUCAUCCCCCUCUGCUUUAGCCUCCUCUACCGUCUCCACCGCCACCACUUCCAAUCGGUAGACCACCACCUGCCGCCGCCUAGCCACUCCAUAUUCUAAUCAAUUGACGCCAGAAAAGAGUAAAUUUUAUGAUAGAUUCUCUGAAUCCAUCUCGGAAAUUUGGUUUUUCAAUUGGACUUCGAGUUUGAAAUUUGCAUUGAAUUGGUUUGUCGAUGGUGCUUUGUCACUGUUGAGGUCUCGGGUUACUCGGAAAUGGGUCGGUGGGUUAGUUCGUUCAACGAGCCCGGUUAAAAAAUUCUCAAUACUGUUCCAUUUUCUACCGAUUUCUAGCUGAAUCCAGCUCGAAACAGUGAGGUUCACUGGAAUCUAUUUCGGCAUUUUUGUUUGUUGUCCCGUUUGAGUCCAUCGGAACUCAGAUUAUAUAAGAUUCGGUCUUCCAUUAGGUCGUUUGAGGCUUCAGUUCAGAUUGCUAUUUUUUUAUUUUUUUUCGAGUUGGAUUCAUCGCUGUUGAGGUUCUAUUCGAAAUUCCAAGUGCGGGUUUUCUUAUUAUAAACAAAGAUCAGAUUGUUGAAAGGUCCAUUUCCUUAACCCGCUCUCUUUUAUUUAUCUUGGUAUAUUGAAUUGGUUGUGAUUAUGUGUGUUGUGAUUAUGUUUUGUUGGACUUUGUUGAUGUCGAUUAUUAUGAUCAUGAUAUUUGGUGGGUCAAUUUUUGGUGGUUUGAAGAAUGAAUUUGAUCAUGUUUUAAUGGAUUGAUAAGGGGAUUUAGGGAAGGAAUGAAGAAAUUGAUAAAAGAUUGAAUGUAGAUUGAUGUUGGCUUGUUGUCUUUUGUUCCAUUCGGUACAAGUGAAUGUGAUAGAUUUAUACCAUAAUGAAAUGGAUAGGCAAUAUAGGUUCGGGUAGGCAAGAAUUUAAGAUUGAUGUUUUGGUUGAAUGUUGGAAUGUGCGUGUGAAUGUUUUUCUUUCUAGUUUGUCGCAUUUAAUUCAAUUAUAUAAUUUGGCCGGGGAAUGUACCGAAGUAUCUGUAUAUAUUUAUUCACCGGGGAAUGCCCCGAAGUACCUUGUAAUUGGAAGAUGUUCGUAGUGAAGGCCCGAGGCGUCGGGUAAAGCGGUAGAGCGUAGUAUCGGAUUAGUUUAGGGUAGAAUAGAUUUAUAUUUCCGCAUUAUUUAUUUUUGGACUGUAUAAUUGGACUGUACUUUACAUUUUUGGAUUAUUUUGUUUUGUUUAUUGUUGGAUUAUUUUGCGUGCUUUUGUGUGGUUUAUACAUUUCGUAAUGCCAAAAUAGUUGAUACACUCUACCAAGCGACCGUGGUUGAACCACGGGAUCGAGGGGUUCCUAACACCUUCCCCUCGGUCAACAAAAUUCCUUAGCCAGAGCCUCUGUUCGCAAACCAGUUUAAAGAGUCAAAUGGUUUUGAAAAGGAUUUUCCAAUGGUGACUUGGCAAACCAGAUUAUGCCAAGUGGCGACUCUAAAUAAAAAAUGUAAAUAAUGCUUUUUCGAAACAAAUUUUCAUCUUUUGUCACUUUCAUAAUUAAAACCCUUUCAAACAUUAAAUGAUAAAUUUUUUUAGAGUACGUAAAAAGGGGGUGUGACAAAAAUCAGUUAGAGAAAAAGAUAAAAAUGAUAAGAAGUGAUAGGGGCGGAGAAUAUGAAUCUUCCUUCGCCGAAAUAUGUGUAGAGAAUGGAAUCGUUCAAACUAAAACCCCGUAUUCACCUUAAUAUAAUGGAAUUACGGAAAUAAAAAACUGAACUUUGAAGGAAAUGAUGAAUUCCUUACUUAUAAGUUCCAGUUUACCGCAAAACUUGUGGGGGGAGGCUAUCCUUACAGCCAAUCGUAUACUCAAUAGAGUUCCUCAUAGUAAGACACAAUCAAUUCCUUAUGAAAAAUGGAAAGAAAGGAAACCCAACUUGAAAUAUUUCAAAGUGUGGGGGUGUCUAGCAGAUGUCCAAGUUCCUAUGCCUAAAAGGGUUAAGAUAGGACCUAAGACGAUGGACCACGUGUUCAUAGGAUAUGCUAAAAGUAGUAAAGCAUGUCGGUUUUUGGUUCAUAAAUCCAAACAUCCGAAUAGAAACGAAAAUGCGUUAAUUGAAUCAGAUAAUACAGAAUUCUUUGAAAACAUUUACCUGUAUAAAGUUAUACAUGAAUAGUCUAGUGGAGGAUCUAAACGACCUCGAGAUGGACCAAGUGAGAAUGUACAUAAUGAAAAUAAUCCAAGAUGUAGUACACUUCAAAGAACAUCAACUUCGUUUGGAUCAGAUUUUGUAAUAUUUCUCUAAGAAAAUGAACCUCAAACGUUUAAAGAAGCGAUGUAGUCGUCAAACUUAUCCUUUUGGAAAGAGGUAGUCAAUAGUGAGAUUGAUUCAAUCUUAAGCAACCAUACAUGGGAAUUGAUUGAUCUUCCUCCAGGAAACAAACCAUUAGGUUCUAAAUGGAUCUUUAAAAGAAAAAUGAAGGCGGAUGAUACUAUUGACAAAUACAAGGCAAGACUUGUAGUAAAAUGCUUCAAACAGAAAGAAGGCCUUGAUUACUUUGAUACAUACUCGCCAGUAACAAAGAUAACAUCGAUUAGAAUAUUAAUUGCCUUGGUGGCGGUAUAUGAUCUCGAAAUACAUCACAUAGAUGUAAAAACUGCAUUCCUAAAUGGAUAAUUGGAGGAAGAAAUUGACAUGGAACAGCCUGAGGGUUUUGUUGUUCCAGGAAAGGAGAAUAAGGUGUGUAAACUUAUUAAGUCAUUGUAUGGACUAAAACAAGAAUCUAAACAAUGGCAUGGAAAGUUUGACCAAACCAUGUUGGCAAAUGGGUUUAAGAUAAAUGAAUGUGAUAAAUAUGUUUACAUUAAAGACACUCCAAAUUACCAAGUCAUUAUUUGCUUAUAUAUGGAUGAUAUAUUGAUCAUCAGUAGAGAUAUUUCUGACAUAAAUGCAACGAAACGAAUGCUCGAGAGCAAGUUUGAUAUGAAAGACCUUGGAGUUGCGGAUGUGAUCUUAGGUAUAAGAAUCCAUAGAACUCCAAAAGGAUUGGCAUUGUCGCAGUCUCAUUAUAUCAAAAAUGUACUUGACAAAUUCAAGUAUAUGGAAUUCGGUAUUGCCAAGACUCUUUUGAAUAUGAGCUUUGCACUUCAAAAGAAUGAAGGUAAAAGUGACUCACAAUUGGAGUACACAAAAGUAUUGGGAUAUUUAAUAUAUAUAAUGAACUGUACAUGACCAGACAUAGCAUGCGCUAUCAGUAAGUUGAGUCGGUACACGAGUAAUCCUAACAAAACUCAUUGGAUGGCAAUGAAAAGAGUUUUGGGGUAUCUUAACUACACUCAAUACUAUGCUUUGCAUUAUAAUAAAUAUCCCAAGGUACUUGAAGGAUAUAGUGAUGCAAAUUGGAUCACCGGGUCGAAAGAAGUAAAAUUCAUAAGUGGAUAUGUAUUUGUUAUCGGUGGAGGAGUAGUCUCUUGAAAAUCAUCCAAACAGACUUAUAUUGCUCGCUCUACAAUGGAAUUUGAAUUUAUCGCAUUGGAUAAAGCCGGUGAAGAAGCAGAAUGGCUCCAAAAUUUCUUAAAAGAUAUUUCUUAUUGGCCCAAACUAGUGGCACCAGUAUGUAUACACUGUGAUAGCCAAGCGGCAAUAGGUAGGGCAGGGAGCAUGAUGUACAAUGGUAAAUCUCAUCACAUACGACGGAGACAUAAUACCAUUAGGGAACUUCUCUCUAGUGAAAUUAUCACUGUUGACUAUGUAAAGUCAAAGGAUAAUAUGUCGGAUCCACUUACAAAAGGCCUAUCUAGAGAAGGAGUGGAAAGGACAUCCAAGGGAAUGGGUUUAAGGCCUAGGACAAGUCAGCAUGGCGGUAACUUCACCUAGCUGGAGAUUCCAAGGGCUAGGUUCGAGGAGAUCAAACAAAGUUGUGUCUGAAAGGUUCAACAUUGUCAAAAUACUGAAUCAUUCUUAUGAUGUAGAUAAUGUUUAGUAAACAAGGAUAAGACUUAAGGUGAUAAGUCUUUUAAUGAUUAUCUAAAUUUGGCAGAUUUGACCAAAUACUUUAAUCUAUGGGAUUGAAAGUUUAGAAAUCACCUAUGUAAGGGCGAAGUGGAAGCCGCUUCAAGGAGAAUGUUAGUAAAGUCCUAUUCUCUAAGCUCUCAUGAAUCCGGGACGCGUUCAUGGCUGAAAAGAACAAAAUUGUGAGAAUCAUAAAUGGUAAAAGGCUGGUUGUGUGACAUAUGUUGUCUAGGUGUACAUUAAAUCUGGACGGUUUAAAGAUAUCAAAUAUACCGAUUGACCGAGUGCAUCCAAUGCAUGUUCACUACGGAAAGUUCAAAGGGAAAUCCACUUAUCCAGAUGCAAUCAGUCUUUGUUUGAUGAUCACAUACUUUUUCGUAAAAUUUUAUAAAAAAAUAGUCAUUUUCCAUUCAUGUGGGGGAUUGUUGGGUUCAAUAUGUAUGAAAAAGGUGUGAAUGGAAAAUGAAGGGAUACAACCUUUGAGAAAAAGACAUAUUGUUUUGGAAAAGGAGUGACUAUUCAAAUAGUUGUGUCUGUUCAAAAAAAGACACAAUGUUUCGAAUGAACAGACAUGACUCUUCCAAAGGAUACACCUUUUCAGAUGAACCAUUGCCACCUUUGGGAAGGGGCACUUGAUGGCUAUAUAAACCUGCAUUUAUCCACAGGUUUAGGUAUGAAAAUUUUUCUGAAUCUACAAACUCUUCUUGUCUUCAAAACAUUCCGUGUGAUCAAUCAAAUCGUUGAGUGAGUUCGAAGAGAUUUCAAUUGUUUGAGGUACCGCUACAGUUGGUUUGUUUGGCCAUUUUAUCCUGGGAGGAAAAUUCCACAACCUCGGGUACUUGAGGGGAAUUAUUUCCUUAAGGACACUCCAUGAAUUCGGAGGACUUGACCAUUUCUAUUUCAUCUUAAUUUCUGAAAAAUAAAACACACUUCUUUGAAAGAUUAUUUUGAUCUUGUGUUGAGGGUGUUGUAGAACUUCAUAGUGUUCUUGUUUUAAACUUGAACUAGUGUUGAAGUAGUGUUGCGAAAAUGCAGAUUGUAUGUACCUAAAAAACUCCAAACACCUCCAUCGCACACGUCAAUGUCGACUAACCGGAGCAUAAACACAUAAUAUCGAGCCCAAUAUCAAGCAAAUGGAUCUAAGGCGUAACUCAGACUCAAAAUUACGCUUAAGAGUUAAGGAUUAAUGUUAAGAACAUAAUUGGAUAAGUAAAAAUGUCCCCCGGAUCUCUAGCCGUUUAAGCUUUAAAAUGAGAUGAUUACACAACUCACCAUGAUAUCAAAAUCAUCAUAGAUCCUAAUCGCAAAAUUUGACCAGGAAGGCCAUAUGUAAAUAUUAAAACAACAUAUUCUAUGUAUUCCCACAUAAUAGAGUUUGAGAAGAAUAGAUUUAACGCAGUCCAAACCACUACCUAACAGGUGAGUUUUUAUGUGAAUAUAUCUAAGCCUUACAUCCACGAUUCCAAAUUCAUGAAUUCCAAGAAAAAGAGUAAUUAUUUUCUUUGUUUCUCAUUUUGCUUGUGAGUAAAUAUUGAUGUACUCAACAACGAAGAUCACAUAGGACGCAUGUAUAUUGUUUAACUUUAUAUAAAUUUAAAUAUCAAUUAAUUUUAAAUAUCUAAAGUUAGAAGAUAUAAAUGUUUGAUAAGAUUAAGUUAAAAAGCAUAUUUAUAUAUUAUAUCUUUUAUUUUAGAUAUUUGAUAUUUUUUUAUAUUAUUUUAAAAAAUGGAUCUAAGAUUUAAAUUUACAUAUUCAAACCUUAACUUAUUAUACAAAAAUAAUUUAUUUCGUGAUCUAAUGUUUAAAUAUUAUAAUAUAUAUACAGAAUCUGAACAAAAAAACUACUGAUUCCCGUGAAUAUAACAAAAUUUUAGAGACUAUUCACAUAUUUUCUUUUUUAAAUUUCCCCCAAAAACAAAGUUCCAAAAAGCUUUUAUGGAAGAACCAUAAAGAUAAUGUAAAAGUAUAUUUAACAAAAAAAAAAAAAGGUAAUAUAGUGUGAAACUUUGAUCUAUUAAUUUUGCAACUCUUUCUUUAAUAUCGGAAUAGUGAAGUUGAUUGAACAUGUGAUCUUUUAAAUGGGUGGGGUGUCUCAGGUUCGAAACCCAGUGCAUUUUUUCUUUAUGGAGUUCAUCGCAUAAAACUUGGCUGAUAGGGCAAUUUUACUAAAGUGGAGUUUACUUUAUGCAUAUUCGAACAAUUUUACAUUUUGUUCACAAUUUUCUUUGUAUAUAUUGAUAGGCAAAGUCUCUUUCUCAAUCAUGCCUUCUUUUGACAUAUUCCCACUCUAUUUUUUUUCGUUUUCCAUCUAGUGUUCGGUAGCUACAUUGGAGUCCGAUUAAUCUGGAUUCGUGCUGGGUAGGGUCCCUUUGAGGGACAGUGCUUCCUACCAAGGAUUUUUCCAUAUCUAGGGCUCGAACCCGACAUUUCUGGUUAAGGGAGGAGCAGUCUCAUCCACUACACUACAUAGGAGAUGACAUAUUCCCACUCUCUCUCAUGUUAUUUUCUUUUUUUAUAUAAUCCGGUUUUCCACUCCUUUGUUUUCUUUUUUCCUUUUUUUGCUUUUUUUAUCUUUUGUGAUUAUUCUUUGAGGGAAAAAGAAAAAGAAUUUUGGGAGAACUUAACUAGUGAGAUGAUGUUUUUGGAGGUUUCGAUCAAUAUAAAUAAUAUAAAAAUGGAUUACAGACGUAACACAAUCUAAAAAGAUAGAUCAUCAAUUGAGGAUUGAUCAAAAAAACAUAAAAAUUUAGAGACCUUUCCAAUCCUCCAAAGGUGGGAUAUCCUUAGAAACUUUCACGGAAAAAAUUGGCAAGACUAUCCACUUUCAAAACUAUUUUGCCAUUUACCCACUAAAACUAUUUGUGAUUUAAUUUUUAGGGUUAGGGUAUAAAAACUUGGAAAAAGUUAAAAAAGUAGGGUCCACAGAUGGACCAAGGGACCAUUUCAUCAUUUUUAGAACUUUGCAAAUUUAAUAUACUAUACUAACAGCCUAACUUAUUCCAAUGUCCAAAAAAAAAACUUCUCUCUCUCCUCUUCAAUUCUCUCAACUCCCGCUUAAGAAAUCUUCAUCCCAAAAUUGCCAUUUUCGUUUCUUCUUCUUCUCCAGCAGCUUAGGAAUCGUUGUUCCAUCGUAAGGUUAGUUAAAAUCAAGUUGCGAUCAUUUCUAGAUCCAUUUAAAUGAGUUUCUUUGCUAAUUGAUUCGUAGUGAUGUAGGAAAUUUAAAAUUUUUUUUUGAAUUUGGUUGAUUAAGGAGUUUUGGUUUAGUUCCGAUUUUGUUUAGCAAAAAAGUGUUGAAUUGUGGGAUAACCAUUAUUUGAAGAGUUAUUUUAGCAUUUUGAUUCGAACAACGAUCUGUUUCUGUUCGUAGACCCGUGGUCUAUGAAGUCGAUCCGUGGUCUAUGAAAUUAGAAUGCCCUAAAUUGAAAUCAAUUUUUAGGCGUAUGAAAUUCUUUUAAAAUAUGGUUGCUGAAAUAGUGGAAAUUGAAAGAUUAAUAGCUAAUUAGUUUGAUUAGGUGCACUAGUAUGAUUUUUAGAAAUUGUUGUGUUUUGAUACUGCAUGAUGGAUUUUGGUUCAGUUAUUGAAGUGUGAAAAAAAAAAUUUUUAGACGUAUGAAAUUCAUUUAAAAUAUGAUGGCUGAAAUAGUAAAAAUUAAAAGAUUAAUAGCUAAUUAGUUUGAUUAGGUGCAUUAGUUUGAUUUUGAUACUGAAUAUUGGACUUUGGUGGGGUAUUUCUUAAUUUUUUGGGGGUCAGCGAGGGGGGGGGGGAGUUCAUUUAAGCAUUUAGUUAUUUCUGUUGAUAGACUUGUGGUCUAUGAACCGAAAAUGGGAUAUUUAUUCUGCAGGUGUAGAUUGUGUUGAAAAUGGAUAAAAAAUACAUCCUUUCUAAAUGCAAAGCCAGUACCAUUUCUGAUACUGCUGGUAGCAAUAGAAAAAGAAUAGCUGAGGCAGUUGAAAAUGUCUCAAAAAGGAAGAAAAAUAAAGAGUCGGUGUCCAAAUCAGAUUCAGAUUUAAAGGAGAUAAGCGACUACGUCGAUUCCAGUGAAGAUGUUACCAAGCACAGUGCUAGUGGAAGAAACAGUGCCGAUGGGAUAAUGAUCCUUUGUCCGUGCCAUCUCUUUCAAGGUUCAUUUUUGUUGAGCGGUAUGACCUUCGAACGAUAAUGGAUGAGGUAGGAUCUUUCCCGGCAAAGAUAUCGGUCAAAUCAAGAAUGGCUGCUUAUCGAGAUUUCCAGCAAGUUCUUGUCGAUCAAGAGUUGAAGAAAAGAUUCAAGCGGUCCUAUUUUGGACACCUGAGAAACCUGCCGGAACAUCUCAAGUUCAAUGGACAGUUGGUCCAUUAUUUGAUGUUGUAACGCGUCAAGAAUGAUAAGAUGCAUCAUGAGAUGUGGUUCUGCGUUAAAAACAAGCCUGCAUGUUUUGGCUUGAAAGAGUUCUGUUUUAUCACGGGGCUGAACUGCUCAUCAUACCCCAGUGAAUAAAAAAUGAAGAGGGCGUAAGCAAAGGGGAGAAUUUUUGCUUUAAGGUGACGAAAAACAAAAACAUUACGGCGGCCAACUUUCUCCACCUGAUCAGAGGGAAUAAGCUGAACGAGGACCAGAAUUUUAAGUGUUGUUUACUUUGGUUCUUGCAUACCAUGUUGCUUACAAAAGAUUCGACGAAGGUUGUGGACACGAAACUGAUUCAAAUGGUCGAUUCUUUGAGUUUCUUCGAGAAUUAUCCAUGGGGGAAAGAGACAUUUCAACUGACCUUGGGCUAUCUAAAGAAGAAAAGUGACCUGAAGAAGCAGAGGGAAGUAUUUGAUGAAAAGUAGAAGGCAUCCUAUGCUCUAUUCAAAUUUCCCUGGGUAUUCAAGGUAUCAACCAAAAACCCUGUAGUGAGUUCAUCGUAGAUUCUUGUUUUAUUUAUACUAUGUCAUAGACUCUGAGUUUUUUUAUCACUGAUGUACUGCUUACAAAUUUGGAUCUAUGAGCCCUUUCCUCAUCUUUGAAAAUUUGCUGGAAAAUCAACGGAUGAGCCCUUUCCUAUUUCUCGCAUCCUCAGAUGGAACACAACAAAAAGUGACCAGAUAAUCGAAGGCUACCUAUUCAAGUACAAAGGAAAAAUUACCGAGGUAUGAACUCAUUUUUUAUUAUGCAAUAAUAAUAAUACUGUUGUAUCGAAUGUUAUGCAAUUGUUAAUUGAUAUUUUGUAGAACGUGUACCCGUACAUCAUCCCUACUCUUAGUGAGACGAAGAUGGAUUACAUGAUUUUGUUUGAGCCAUAUACGGACGAGGUGAAGAAUAACGUCCUCGAUGGCUUAAAGAACGAGUUAGAAGGGGUGACUGUACUUAUUUCAAAUGAGGACAGUGAUAAUGAUUGAGAUUUGGCCGGUAACCCCGUUGAAGUACACAUUAGUGAUGAUGAUACUUCGAGCACCUCUAAAGAUGCAGCGGGCACCUCAUCCCCCAGGGAUCUUCAUAAACGUGUUGCUGCGCUCAAAGAAGCAGUGUUGGAUAUUGCUGCCUAUAUUAGAGAGAAAAGACUAAAGAAAAAGGAACAAGAUGAGCGACAACACGAGCAAGGUAACUUCAUUCAACCAAUAAUUGGUGUUGUUAAUGAAUUUUCAACUUUAAAUAUCACCAAAACUUUGUAAUAUAAUGAUACAGUGAAUGUGGACCUUCGUGAAUUGGAGAGGAAUGAAGAAGGAGAAAAAAAGAGCAAAAUGGAUGAGUUGGCCUCUACUGUGGCGGGAGAGGAAAAAAAAGAAGAAAAGAAGGAUGAAGAAGAAGAUAUGUGCCAAGAAGAAAUUCCAAAAGAAGCAGUUGCAUCAGAAGCAUAAGAAGAAGCUGAAAAAGAAGCAGCAGUAGAUGUUGAGAAAAAAGGAGAAGAAGGUGAAGAAGCACCAGCUGAAAAAAGUCCAAAAGAAGCAGCUGCAGAAGCAGAAGAAGAACCUGAAAAAGAAAAAGCAGCAGAUGUUGAGAAAAAAGGAUAAGAAGGUGAAGAAGCACCAGCCGAAGAAGUACCAGCUGCUGCAGAUGUUGAAAUAGAAAGAGAAGAAGGCGGGCAUGAAGAAGCAGCCGAAGCUGCUGAGAAAAAAAAAGCUGAAGCUGACCAAAAAGAUUUGGUCAUAGAUAUUGUAGGUGAAAUCAAUAGUAACAUUUGUGUUGAUGAGGAAGACAGGUAAAAAGACAUUUGAGUGCUAAUAUUGUUAAUGUGUUGUUGAAUGAUCGGUAGUUAGGAUCGGACAAUAUUUUUGUUAUUAGAAACAUUAUUUUAUUUUAUGGUAGUGGUUAUGAUUCUGCACUGAAUCUGUCUCUAUCAAACUGAUUAGUGGCAUUUCUAUUUCAAUAUAUAGGGUGUUGUCAUAGUUGGUGCAGUGUAUGGUUGAUGUCAUAGAAUGCGUACAUAAUCUUUCGUAUACUGCUUGCAUGGUCUAUCAUUACCAAGCUGGUCGAUUUUAAGUCGCCGUGUUGUUUGAUCGACCAUGAUUCUAUCAAAAACAGUAUUAACAUUAUAGAAAAAUAGAAUUAUUAUUAUUUAUUCAAUAUCACUACAUCCAUGUUACACCUUUCCAAAGAAUGAAUACUAGAAUUAUAACACAUAACAUCAUUUUUAGGCCAUUCUCCCUUUCUUCGGCCAAAAUCAAUUUUUGUUUUAGUUGAUCCCUCUCUAUUUUGGUGUCAUGUAGCAACACUUUAAAGUGAUCCCUCUAUUCUUCGGAUUCCUUGAACAAAGUCAUGAGAAAAUCUUUAUUUUUUUCGCAUUGUUGGAGCCUUUGUAGUAGAUUAAUUUUGCCAAGCCUUGAAAAUUUGAUGUCUCGGAUCCCGGACUCAACGUUGGUGGACUGGUUGGAGGUGAUAGCUCAUCAAGCCAUUUAAAAAAUGAGCAUGUGCCAUAAUCCUAGAAAAAAAUAAUAAUUACAUAAUGACUAACUUAACUUCAUAAAAAAGACACACACCGCUUACCUUCGCAAUUGCACAAUUAUAAAAUUUGCGACCUGGAUUUAAGUCCGUGUGUGAUGUCCUCAGGGCAGCCACAUUCUCACAAUGAAAAAUUAGAGUAUUUUUAGAAUUGGAUAUUUGAGAGGCUUGAGACAUUGUAUAAUUUUUAAAAACAAAACAAAGUGAAUGAAAUAAAAUAAUGAGGGAUAACCGACCUUAUAUAUGAAGUAAAAAUGAAGUGUUGACACUGAUAGAUUAUAAAAGUAGCCGUUUAUUACCGUUGGAGCAGUAAUUUUAUUUUUUGAACUGGUGGUGACACUUCAUAAACCGUCGUAGAUCUUGUCUUAUGUUAGCCAUCGAUUAGACUGGUCAACCGUAGACUUACACCUUUAGAUAUACAUCGAUUAAUAUCCUAAGUAUGCGUAGACCACGUUGAUCGAUGUGCACUACCAUAGACUGUCACUUGGAUGUAGUUAAAAAAUAUAUAAAUAAAUUAAAAAUAAAUGUAGUGUUGAUUUCUACACGUGAGUGAGUAUAAACAAGACACACAAUCAUAUUAGAGCUUGUACAAUGUGAAUUAAGGAGUGUGUGGAUUGGUAGUAGUUGAAUGUUCAAUAUGCUAAGAGUAGUGUUUGUCAAAGCACAAGUAUGUAUUAAGGAUAUAUAUUGUAUUGAGGAUGAUGAUUGUUCAACCACUAUCCAUUUAGUGUGUGGAAUGGAUAGUGGUUGAACAAUCAUCAUCCUCAAUACAAUAUAUAUCCUUAAUACAUACUUGUGCUUUGAGAAAUAUUACUCUUAGCACAUUGAACAUUCAGCCACUACCCAUCCACACACUCCUUAAUUCACUUUGUACAAGCUCUAAUAUGAUUGUGUGUCUUGUUUACACUCACUCACAUGUGUAGAAAUCAACACUACAUUUAUUUUUAAUUUAUUUAUUCAAUUUUUUAACUACAUCCAAGUGACGGUCUAUGGCAGUGCACAUCGAUCAACGUGGUCUACGCAUACUUCGGAUAUCAAUCGAUGCACAUCUAAAGGUGUAAGUUUAUGAUCGACCAGACAAUUUUAUAUAGUCCUAUAGAUGGCAUCCUUUUAUAUAUCCAGACAAUUUUCAGUCAACGCGUGUAGGAAUAGAGAACGUUUGGUUUGCGUAUACCAGCGGUUUUUCCUGAGAACAGACGUGUUUGCAUCUUUUAAUUAAUUGGGAACAGGAAAUAAUGAUUCAAUGUAUCUAUUACAAAGAUAUGGCGGUAUAAAUAUCUACAUAGUGUGUUUGAUGAUUAAUCAUAUAACAAAUAAAUAUUAUUUAAUAGACUGAGUUAAAGAUAUACCAUAGAAUAUAUGUAGUCUAUCCUAGACAAAGCUUUAAGUCGAUAACAAUUGAACGUUAAAUUCUACUAAAAUGCACAUUUAUACUCCAAAACAACAGCUUUACAACUGAAGCAAAAUAAAGCCUAUCUAUGAUUUGUUGGCCAUGCUACACGUGGUUCUUUUGUGCCCAGAUUUCUUGCAUAUUGAACACCUAAUCCUCCUUUUGGACUUGAACGUCUCACCGAUGCCCUUAGUGCAUUUGAAUUUCUUCCUUCCGAGUUUGGGAUCGUAGGAGGGUGGAGAAAUUUUAGUGUCUAGUAAUUCCUGUGACAUAUUUCAUUCGGCCUCUGGAUGGACAACGUUAAUUGCUUCCAAGAAUGCGAGGAGGUAACUUGCAGCUUUAUAAAUUGGUGAAGAGUACUCGUAGAUGGAGUUUCCAUAACCUACCCCAUCGCCAUACUUUUCUCGCAAAGCUGCCAUCGCAUGUUCGCAUAGUAUUUUUACCAAGUCAAAUUUCCGACAAGAACAACUCCUCUCCAAGAGAUUGACCUUGGCAGUAACACCAUUGCCGAACACCGUGUACUGGUCUAGAACCCCGUUUGGAUUAGUCGCAUACAAGGAAUCGCUCACACUCUUGUUAUCCCUUAGGAUUUUUUUCGCACAAGGAACAAAUAUGUUCUCUUUACCAUCGACAUAGGUAUACCGCUCCCUAAACCUUUUACUAAAUUUUUUAGCAAUUGAAUUGAAUAUGUACGAUAUGGGGUACUCCCAUUCAACCAUCAAAACCGAGUUGAGAGACUCGACGAUGUUUGUGGUCAUCACAUCGUACCUAUUGCCCAGGAAGUGUGCUCUACUCCAUUUUCCAGAAUCAAGCACAUUUUCAAGGACGUGUGCUCCCCGACAUACUUCUAUAUGUGAAAUCUGUCCGAGGUUUCGUACUUCUUUGCCCGCAACAACCAGCCACAACCAGGAGAUACGCAUUUUGCCUUCAACAAUUUGGUGCAGCUCUUCUCCAUAUGAUAAUCAAAAGACUGCCUCACCGCUGCUCUGUCUAGUAGCAUUUUAAGCUGUUUUUUGUCGGUAAAUAUUUGAUCACGAUAGAAAUUGGUUCCGUUAGAGAAGGAAUGUACUGGUUAGGAUCCCAUUCCACAGUCUUCUUCUGCAUCUUAUGAGUCCGAUAAAACGUCUUCUAUAUGCACACAGUCAUCUUUCAUAUUCAUGGGAUGAUCGCCAUCGCUAUCGUAAUCAUUCAAAUUGUCGUCAACUAUCUGACACCGAGGUGGGGACGGUGAUGAAUUCAUUGAUCAUUCAAAGGACUUGUCGACUAUACUUAUCCUUAAAACAGGUCUAAAGCCAUCUACAUCAACAUCCAUUAUGGAGAGGGACACACACGCAUCAUUAUUUAUGAUCGUAGGAUUUACCUUUUCCCUCGAAUGCAUUAGAUAACUAAUCACCACGUUGCUCAACGCGUAAUCUAGAUCCCCACUCUGCUUUAUGCUUGCAACCAAUUCGUCGUAUGAACUGUUGCGGCGAACAGCAAUAGGCAGUGUCACCUUGGUAAAAGAUCUCCAUUUCCAACCUCUAGGAGUAUUCACUCAUUCUCCCAUGAAAUCACCUGCAACCAGAGCAAAUUCUGCAAUAGACAUCCUAGAAUUAACCUUUGGUCGACGGUAGAUUAAGCUUAAGGUCUAUGUCGGGAUGUAUGCACGGUCGAUGAAUAACAAUGACGGGUCGAUGACUACGCAGAUAUCCAUACAGAAACUUGAAAAUGCAAAUAUUGCUUCUAAUCAAUGGUCGUUGGGUUUAUGAAAUAGAGAAAUGAACUUGGAGUCGCCUUAGUUAUUGUAAUGUACUUCUAAAGAGUUUUUAACUGAUGUGAUUGAUUUAAAGCUUUUUAACAAUGAUGGAAAAUGUGUUUGAGAAGAUAACAAACUAAUGGAGUAAAAUGAAUGCAAUGGACGAGCUUAUGAGGUUUGUGGACUGAUUUAGAGCUGAUCGCCGGAAAAUAACGCCGAAAAGGACGCCGGAAUCAGAGCUUUUUUUGGAGGGAAAGAACCACCUUCUAUUUUUAGCUUUUGGAUUUAUUUUUUUAUAUUUUUGAAAACCUAGAUAUUUUAUAAUGGUGGAUGAUGGAGUGGGUUGAAGUGUAUUAUUAAAAACUUGGGGAUGAAUUUGUUAAGUUGGAAAUAUUGGGUUAAAGUUUAGUAUUAAAAACAUUGUGGGUGAAUUUGUUGAGUUGGAUAAAUUUAGGGUGAUGUGGAUUAAAAAGGGUAUUUGGCAAAUUUUUCACAACUUUUUAAUAAACCACAAAAAAGUGUUCAAAAGAGCAUUUUUGGCCAACUUGCCCACCUUUCGUCCCACUCAUCAAUGUCUGCUACUUGGAACAUAAACGACAUAACAUAAUAUGGAGCCCAAUAUCGAGCAAAUGGACUUAAAACCACUCAACCUUAAAAUUUAGCUUAUGAGUUGAUUAAUGUUGAAGACAUAAUUAAUUAAGUAAAAAUGUCUUUAAAUCUCUAACCGUUUAAGGUUUUUAAAUGAAACAAUUACACAACUCAACAUGAUAUCAAAACCGGGAUAGAUCCUAGGUUCGAGUGUCGUUGUAUAUGUGUAAGUGUGUUGGAUAAGUCACAUUAGGAAGGCCAUAUGUGAAUAUUACAAAGCCACAAGUCAAAAUUCAUCUAUGCCUAGAAAGAGAGUAAGUAUUUUCUACGUUUCUCAUUUUGCUUGUGUAUGAGUAUUGAUGCACUCAAUCCAUUUUCACCAACGAAGAAAUAGUAUAUAUAUUCUCUAAUUUCUCAUGAUCACACUCACAUUGGUCCAAGAAUCAUUGGAGGAAGCAAGUGAAGGAAAAAUGGGGCUAGAAAGCCCCUUGGAAAAUACUUGCGUCUAAGCCGCUUUGGAUCUGCUUUUGAUCCACUAUAGCAUUUCAAGAGCGGAUCAAAACAUUCCCUAGUGGGUCUUUUUUUUCAAUUGGGUCACUUUUGGACCCUAAAAUUAUAAUAAUUAUCCUGAACUAUAAAUAUUUUGGAGGCUAGCUCAUUCUCUUAGUUUUGCUUGAUUAUUGAUGAAUUGAAGAAUGCUUCUCCAUUGAGUGAGAGUAUUGGACGACUUUUGUUGAACUUUGGUUUAGAAAUGUUGGUUAAGAGGGCGUUCAUCUCCCUCUUGAUCACCGUAGGAAUUAGGUGUUCGAUUAGAUUUUAAUUGAGGGUAAUUAGAGUUUGACAUACUCUUUUGUUCUUGGUUACUUCUUUUCUUGUGUCUAAUUAUCUAUCUUAUCGAUUAUCUUUACUUUUUCGUAUCGUUGUUAGUUUUCGUAGUUCGAUUCUGUAUGACUCACAUCCAAUCAUCUGAUUAGGGAACGGAACAAUUCCCGUGAAGCUUCCGCCACAUGCCUAAUUUAUGAAUCGACUCUGAUACAAAUUUGUAUAGUUUGGUAUAAAUACUGAAUUUUGAUAGUUUUAUUCUCUACUUUUCAACGUUACACGAUUGUUGAGUAUUACCAAUACUAGAAAACACAAUAUCAUAUUUAUUCUCUGACUCCUUCCUUUGAUACACAAAACAUAAGAAAUAAUUUUCUUAACAAAAAUUAAAUAAACAGAUAUUUCCAGAAACAAGAAGUCCCCAUCUUAACUCUUGUUCAAUGUAUUGCCUAUGUCAAGCACAAAACGAUACUUCACGUCCGCUUUCGAAAGGCGCUCCAAUGCUGUAUUCACAUACUCCAUCGACACGAUUUCAACAUCUGGUGUUAUGUUAUGCUUAGCCGCGAAAUCUACCAUCUCUUGUGUCUCCUUUAUCCCUCCUAUCGCGCUCCCCGCCACUAGCUUCCUUCCUGUUAUACACAUAUUAUAUAUCAGUACUUUCAGCUCAAAUUUUCAAAAAAAGCGUACAGACAAAAUCGUCAUUCAAGAAUAAACGUACCCAAAAGCAGGGGAAAUACGGGUAACUCUAGUGGUUUUUCAGGUGCACCAACCAUCACUAGCUUCCCGUGAGAUCUCAACAAAUCAAUCAAUGGAAGAAGAGGGUGAAUUGCAGAAACAGUAUCGAUGAUGCCAUCGAGUGAGCCAGCUGCAGCCUGUUCGGAUAACACCCGAAAAAAAUUUAGUACUAUUCAUAUGUCACAAUCGUGUUAUAAAUUUGAGAUCGAAGCAUAGUUGAUUGAUUGGUUAACCUGCAUUUGGUCCGGGUCACGACUAACAAAAAAUGAGUCCGCACCCAAACGCUCAAUUGCUUCAUCCUUCUUACUAAGAGAUGUACUAAUGACAGUAACUUUGGUACCAAAGGCCUUAGCAAAUUUGACAGCCAUAUGACCAAGUCCACCAAGACCAACAACACCAAUGUGCAUUCCAGGCUUGUCAAGCCCAAAAUAUUUCAAUGGACUAUAAGUUGUGAUCCCUGCACACAACAAUGGGGCAGCUUCCAUUGGUAAAGUUUCCGGCCAGUGGACCACGUAGUGCUCAUCCGUUACCAUGAUAUCAGAGUAACCACCAUACGUAGGUGUUCCAUCGGAGUAAAUACCAUUGUAUGUCAUUAUCUGAUCACGGCAGUAAUUUUCAAGAUCGUUGUCACAAUUUACACAUUUUCUACAUGAUCCUACUAAACAUCCAACUCCAACUUUGUCUCCAAUUCUAAAUUUCUCCACUUUGCUACCAAUUUCAGUUACUACACCAACAAUUUCAUGCCUGUAAGAGAAAUUGACAAUUGCAACAUAUUAAAUAUGAAUAGUAUUAGCAUAACAUGUUAUCAGACUAGUGUAAUUCCACAAGUAGGGUCGGAGGAGAUAGGAUGUACACAUAUCUUACCCCUACCUGGUUGUUCAGCGACAUAUUUCAUUCGUCAUGAAGCCCAAUUAUAUGAUCAAAUUUACAAUUUCUUAGUCCAAACAGUUAGAAAGAAGGAAGAUGCACCCAAAAUUAGGUACUUAUAUCGUUCAAAAUUCUGGAUCCGCCUCUGCAUUUAUUUAACAAAAGAAAAUGUACAUAUAUUGCAAUAUUACAAGAUUACUCUUUCGAAACUUGUGAAUGAUUUAUGAUCAGCUAGCCCAUCUACCAUUUUCCAGUUAUAUUAUGUACAUUAGGGGUGCAUAUCGCAAAUUACUUAUUAAAGAACAUAUAUAGCAAAAGAGAUGGAGCAAAAUGAAACUUACCCAGGUACCAUUGGAUAUAUGCUAUUGCUCCAUUCACCCUUGAUCUGAUGAAGAUCAGAAUGACAAAUUCCACAAUACAUAACUUUGAACUGCACAUCUUUUUCACCAGUCACCCUUCAUCGAAUCAAAAUUAAACCAAAACUCCAAUUAGAAAAGUAGAUAUAUAUUGUUCGACCAAUUAGUUUACUGUCAGUGUGUAUGUUGUGUAUAGCAUGUAUAUUCAGUAUAAAAUUUACACUUUCCUAUACAGUUUGUACAUAUUUUGUAAACUAAUUGGUUGGGGUGUUAGUGAAGAAUUGUCAAUAAUAUAGGUUUAACUGCACUUGAUCGUGCAAAAAAACUUUGUAAUAUCAGUUUAUAUGACUUAAAUCAGAAAAAGAAAGUUAUUAAAAAAAGUGUAGCCCAGUGCACUAAAGCUCUCGCUCUCCGAAAAAGGCCGGACCACAAGGGUUUUUGUAUGCAACCUUAUCUUGCAUUUUUGUCAGAGGAUGUUUACACGGAUUGAACUCGUGACUUUUUAAGUGCAUGACAAUACCUUUACUGAUUAAUAUAAAGAUAAAACGAAUGUGUACCUUCUUGAAAAGUUGAAAGGAGAAAGAACACCAGAAGUGUCUCUAGCUGCCCAUCCAAAUGCAGUAACAUUCUCAUUUGAGUUUUCCAUCUUCUUGAUUAUUUUAUUUUGGAAAUAUUACAAACAAAUAAUUUUGAGUAGUAGAAUUCUAUGCCAAUGUGUUGAUUUUCAUUUGUAUAUAUAGGCCUUAGGAUGAUGUAUUUGAUGAGGUGUGAAGCAAAUGAUAUCGUCAUGGCUGCUUUGUACAAUUUGCUUUUGUUGGAUCAAUAAUUAAAUAUGACAUUAUAGGACCAAGGUCUGGCUGCAACAACUAUUUUUUUCGGUCCGAUGUCUGGUACCAUAUUAAAGAAUGUAAAUAGGUUAUAUAUCAAUUUUCUUUGUCGAAAAAUAUAUAAGAACAAGGGUAUGAGCACCAAUAUUAGCCAUAAAAGUCCAUUGAAUCUGGAUUCAUAUCGGGAAAUCCCAUAUUGGAGGAUAAGGUGUGUCACACCCCUUUUUUGACCAAAAAAAUAUGCACUUUAAGUUCGAAAGAGUUUUAUUAUUAAAGUGACAAAAAUAAAAAAAAUUUUGUUUCAAAAAAAAAAAGGAUUAUUUACAUUUUUUUUUUUAUUCAGAGUCGCCACUUGGCAUAAUCCGGUGUGCCAGGGCACCUUUGAAAAAUCCUUUUCGAAACAGUUUGACUCUAAAAACUGAUCCGCGAAUAGAGAUUCCGGCUAAGGAAUUCUGUUGACCGAGGGGAAGGUGUUAGGCACCCCUCGAUCCCGUGGUUCGACCACGGUCGCUUGGUGGAGUGUAUCGGCUAACUUUGACACCACGAGGGUAUAAACCACACAAAACAUGCAAAAACAAUCAAGCAAGCAAACAAGAUAAAACAAUCCAAAAUUUAGUGUCCAGUCCAAUUAUACAGUCUAAAAAUAAAAUUAAAAAAAAUGUGUAAAAAUAAAUCCUACUCUAAAUUAAUUCUAGACUAAUACUCUACCAGACGCCUCGGACCUUCAUCACGAAAGUCCUCUUGGUACAAAAUACUUAGGGCAUUCCCCGGCCGAUAAACACAAGUACCUGGGGCCUUCCCCGGCUGAAUAGUACAUUUUAAUCCAAAUACGAUAAAUUAGAAAAAAAAAAAAAAAAUUCAACCAAUAUUUCAUAUUCAAACAUUCAACCAAUCAACAAGUUCUAAAAUUUGUUACCCAAACCUAUAUUGCCUAUCCAUUUCAACCUAAACACGAUCCAAUCGUGUUCACAAACUUAAAAUUUAUUCCGAACUAAACAGAACAACCAACAAACUAACAUGAAUCUAAAAUCAUUCGUUUUAUCAAUUUCUCGAUCCCGUCCCGCUAGCUUCAUUUUUAUCAAUCACGUUACGCAUAUAAUCAUCACAUCACAACUUCAACAAAAAUCCACCAACCAUGGUUGCACCAACAUAAUCAAGACAAUUCAACAAAUCAAGGUAAAGAAAAAGGGAGGUAAGAAAGUGGACCUUUCGAUAAUCAAUUUCAGUUGAAUAAUGAUAUUAAAGAAGCCCAAAUUUCGAAUCCGGAAUAGAAGACCUCAAUCGGAAAAACUCUCAAGCUCGGUAUCGCCAAAAUUGAAGCUCUAAACUGGUUGUGGGACGCAGAUUAAGACAAAACAGGACCCCAAGACUCAAAACAGUAGCAAACCGAUGAACCACUGUAUGUUUCGACGUUUUUCCGGCGACACAGUCAUCGGAGUAAAUAACUGGACGCGACCUCUACCUCAUUGCAAUUUGUGUCUCGAUUUCCAGUGAAUCUAAGCGGAAAACAGAGAGAGGGUGACCUGUUUUUGGCACGAAUUUGGGUCGAAAUGAACUGACGGUACUAUUCUCCGAUUUGAUCCACCGGAACAGUAGCCAAAUCAUGGCUUUCGAUGUAUCUGGCAGCUGAGACGACAAGUUCCGGUGAGUUUCGCCGGAGAAUUCAACCCCUGUCCACCCCUUCUACCCCUCUUCUCUCUUGUUCUCUCUCCCCUCACUUGAUCUCACUCUCUCUUCUACCUCUACAACUCUCUAUGUGUGUGAUUUUGUCUGUGGAGUGUUUCUGUGAGUAUAUUUGUGAAUUUCUUGGUGAAGAAAAUGAUGGAAAGAAGAAGAAAAAAAAAUCGUGUCCUUUUUUCUUUUCUUUUUUUUUUCGUAUAUGUAUGUGAAUAUAUGGUCCCUUCCGUGUCCAUUCCUUGGGUUAAAAAAAAACGUGUAAAAAAAGGGGGUAGGGGGUAGGGUAGGGUAGUGGUGACGUGGGGGUGGGGUAUGGGGAUAUGCGGUAGUGAUGUGUUGUCUAAAAUUGAUAGGAGGAGUGGAUAAUUUUGUUACAAAAAAAUAAUUGGGGAUUAGGUUUGUUAGUGAGUUUGUUAUUUUUUAUAUUUUUAUGGGAUAUAAUCAUACGGGUGAGAGCACGUGGUAAGACAGGGAUAAAAAUGUGUAACUUGAAUCUUCGGAAGGGACAAAAUUAGAUAUCUACAAGGUGUUUCCUAACAAAAGCGACUCCACGAAGGAGUACAUACGACUCCAACAUUAUUGUUCUCACUGCAAGAUUUAUUUUUACAUGUUUAUAUUAUUUGAAUAUACAUAGAGGCAUGUAUAUUGUGUUACUAAUAUGUAUUUGUUUUAUUGUGCAAGAAAGGAUGAAUCAAAUCAUUGACGAGAAUAUAAAGAUUCAGAUUAGAUAUAUUUCGAGAGAUAUCAUUUUGAAUUAGACAUUAAUACAUAAUCAUAUAGGUCUUUUAACUUGGUCUCCAUAUUUAUAUAUUUUCUAUAAUAUUAAGUGUGCAUAAAUAGAUACUUAUAUUUAAGUAAGCUAAGACGUGUGUCCUCCGUGAUAUCUACAUGACAAUUACAUACGAAUUGUCACGUAAAUGUCUCGUUGAACAUAUAUAUAUUUACUUGUUCAACUUUAUAUAAAUUAAAGUGUUUGCCUGUGUAUACCUAAAGUUGACAUUCAGAUGCACAAAUGUAUAGAAACGAAGUCACAAUUUAAAUUUUAUGGUUCGAAUAAUUUUUAAAGUUCAUAGUUUUGAGCUUAUUGUGUUUUAAUAAUUAAGAACUUAAACCUACCAUUUAUCAUAUAUAAAUUAGUGGACUUUAAUUUAUUUAUAUAAAAAAUUAUAUAAUAUAUAAAAAAAAUAUUAGAUUUAGAUUAAUAUGACUUUGCAAAGCUAGCGAAACUUUGACCAGUAUAUGCUCAUGACCCCUCAAUACCCACGUUCAUUUUCUUGUAAUGAUAGCCCUCUUUAAUACAAGCAAACUGGCAUUUAGUUUUUUAUAUAAUAGUGUAAUUGCCCGUGCAAGGCACGUGUAAUUUCUUAUUAUUUAAAAUUAAAUAAUUUUAUCUAUUACGAAGAUUGUUAAUAAAGUGCAAAAAAUUUAAAACAUAUAUUUUACUGUAAGCACAUAUAUAUUUUACCAUCUAUUAGUUUCAAGUGGUUAAUGAAUUUAAUAUAUUGUAGAUGUAGAUUUAUAAACUUUUUAAAUCUUCUUAAAAUCAAAUUUAUUUGAUUUAGAAUUUUUAAACUAAUAAAAAUAAUGUUAGUUGUCAUUAAUUCUGAUGACUUCUAAUAACUAAUAAGGAAAGUUUUACCAUAAAGAUAUUUAAUUAAUUUUCAACUCUUAAAUAUUAGGAAAAAAAUAGUGAAAAGACGAUUUUGUUUAAAACAAAGAUUUUUAAUGAAGGGCAAAAGGUUCAAAUGACAUUUCANNNNNNNNNNNNNNNNNNNNNNNNNNNNNNNNNNNNNNNNNNNNNNNNNNNNNNNNNNNNNNNNNNNNNNNNCUCAAUUUCGUAUUAGUUCACCUCUAUUGACUUGACACACUCAUUUAGAAAAUCUUUAUUAGGGGUUUAUUUUACCAAAUUAGCCUUAUUAAUUAUACUUUGAAAAUAUAAAUUUGAAUAAAUACACUUUGCUUAGUCAUUUAAUGUUAAGGUUAGUAUUGAAAGAACAUAAUAAAAUCCUCUUGAUCUCAUCAAACGGACAACUAAAUUGAAACAAAUAUUUUUAGAAAGAUGGUCAACUAAAACGAAACGGAGGGAGUAUUAUCUUGAUAUUGAUUUUUCCUACAAUACAGAAAGUCUGGGUCCAGUACUCCUGAAAUCGUGGGCUAUAACAUACGAAUUUGGCCCGAAAAUGAUUCAUUCGCGCUAUUUCGCUCGUUUGAUCAUCCAAUAGGUCCGCCAACUCCAAUUGCCCACACUCCCACACUCUCCAUCAUGUCUAGGAGCCCCUGAUCAAUUUUCGAUCCAAAACACGUCCGGACCUAGUCUAGUCUAGUCUAGUCUAGCGUACUGCAUUGAUAGUGUAAAAAGUCUUUGCACUUAUUGUCAGUUUGUAUAACUUAAAUCCGUCAAGAAAAUGAUAAAGAUACAAUUAAUAUGUACCUUCUUGAAAAAUUGAAAGGCGAAAGAACACCAGAAGUGUCUCUAGCUGCCCAUCCAAAUGCCUCUACUGGAUGUUCAUUCUCAUAUGAUUUUGCCAUUUUCUUGAUUUUUGGAGAUACUACAAACAAUUAAUUGAUUAGUGUUAUAGACCAAUGUUUUAAUUUCAAUCAUUAGUAUAAAUAGACCAUAGUGUAUAUGAUUGAUGAUGUAGUCGAUGAGGUGUGAAGCAAAUGCUAUCAUCAUGGCUGCUAUGUGCAAUUUGUUUUUUAUUGAUAAUUAGAGUAUUAUAUUACAUAAUACUGUAUUAUAUGAUGUUGGUUAGAAGGUCCUUUUGUACGUACCAAGGUCUCGCUGCAAUAAUUAUUUUUAUUUAAAUAUAUACAUAGUGGCAUGGAUAGUAAGAGUGCCUAUUUUAUACGACGAUAAUAUAUUCAGUAUAUUUCCACCAAAUGGUUUGAGGAGAGUAAGUGUACGCAAUCCAUACAGGGUCGGCUCAAGCAAAUCAGUGGCCUAAUGUGAAAUCAAAUGGAGGCAUUAAAUUUUCAAGAAAAAUUAUUUUCUUAUAAAAUCUGUAUUUUAAAUCCUAAGAUGCAAAGUUGUAAAUAUUAUAGUCGAUUUCUUCUAAUAAUUUUUUUUUGUUAAUAUAACUAAUGCAUUUAAUCUUUCUUGAGACAUACUUUAAAUACAUCAAAAUUCUUUACUUUUAUAUUAUAAAUUUAUUUUUUCUACAAAUAAUAUUUAAUAAUUUUUUAAUAAAAAACUAUAAUCUAUUAUUGUUAAAAAAAAUGAGGCCUCUCAAAUUAGGGGGCCUUAGGCGGUUGCCUUUUUUUUAAAAGGAUUGAGCCAACACUGAAUCCAUAUCACUAUCUCAGAGGUGAGGUAGAGAUGUUGUUUCCGAUAGAUCUCCGGCUCAAGAUAAAACAAUCUAGACAAGAACAAGAUAUAUACAAUAGAAAUUACCACACCCGAUAAUACCAUAGACAAGAUUCACCAAGUAAUAUAACAAACGAUACAACUUUUGAAAUAAUACUGACCUUCUACCCUAAUCUGUCUCCUCCACAACUUCCUAUCUGGGUCUAUUUUAUGCUAUAACAUAAAGAUAUUGGCCUCAAUUGGCAUCUAUGCGUUCAGUCUUUUAGGUGUGCAUCAAUAAUAUAUGUUUAAACGUAUAAAAGUUAAAUAAAUAGGCGUAUGUAUCCUAUCGACGUAGCGUCCUGCAUGACAAUUUGCAUCCGACGUGGCGUUUAUGCCACUUUAGGAUGUAUUUUUGUACUUUUUCAACUUUAUAGAAAUCGUGUAUUUGUGUAUAGUCAAUUGAAUACUGAUGGCAGCUUGAAGACUCAAAUUGAUGAUUUUAGUGUGUCAAACGUGUUUGAUGAUUUCAGGUGUGGGAAUAGGUAUGCCCAUAUUAAUUUGGACUAAAUAUGUCACUUUCUAGGUAUAAAGAAAAAGUUAUAGUCUAAUUUCGAAUCAUUUUUCGAUCAUCAUAUUACACUUGUUGCUUGCUAAAAGCUUCCUUUAUAGGGUAGAAAUUAGAAUACAUCGAAACGAAGACUAUUUGACUAGAUACAUGACAAGCUUAAAAAGGAUCAAAAUCCACUAAAAAAGGCAGUUUGGUGCACUAUAUUUUCGUUAUGUGUAGGAUUUGGGAAAGAAUUCGGUCACAAGGAUCUAUUAUACACAAUCUUCCUUUACAUUUCUGCAAGGGGUUGUUUACAAUACUUGAACUCAUGACCUCCUGAUCACAUGACAACAACUUUACCGGUUACUCCAAAACUCCCCUUCAAGGAUCAAAAUCCACUAAAAAGAGCAGCCCGGUGCACUGAGCUCCCGCUAUGCACAGGGUUGGAGGAAGGGUCCGACCACAAGCAUCUAUUGUAUGCAGUCUCACAUUACAUUUCUGCAAGGGGCUGUUUUCAAUAUACUUAAACCCAUGUCCUCCUCACAUGACAACAACUUUACCAGUUAAUCCAAGACUCCCGUCCGAGGAUCAAAAUCCACAAAAAGAGUUAAACUCAGCUUAGCCAAUAGUUAUACGCAUUGUAACAUGAAAACUAUCUGUCCACGAAGAUCACAAAAGCUUGGUGUAACGAUUGUACACCAUUUGAACUUUCCACCUAAUAUUGAGAACUUGAUUAUUUUCUAUGUAAACAUGAUUGCUCAUCAUUGUUCUUUACCAAUAUCAGUCUUCUCGUCCUAGGAGAUUGAAUAUUUUUUUUUUAUAUUUUUUAUCUUUUGCUAUUUUAUCAAUUAUUGUAUGAUCGGUUAUUUAAUUCGUUAUUUUGAUUAUUAUUACUUUUAAUGUUAAAGAAUUAAUCUUAUUUAGAUUAAUUACAUUGCUUUAGACACCAUUAAAACAAACUCAACUACUUUCCCCGUUUCAUUUUAGUUGGCCUUUUUUUCUAAAAAUAUUUGUUUCAAUAGAGUUGUCCCUUUGAAGAAAACAAGAGAAUUUUAAUAUAUUCUUCCAAUAAUAUCCUUGUCAGUAAAUGACUAAAUAAGUUAUAUAUAUUUAAAUUUAUAUUUUCAAAGCAUAAUUAAUAAGGCUAAUUUGGUAAAAUAUACCCCUAAUAAAUAUUUUUCUUAAUGGAUGUACCAAAUUCAUAGGGGCCAACUAAUACGAAAUAGAGGGAGUAACAUAUAAUUUGAAAAAGAAUCGUAGUUAAGGGAUCAUACACAUAUUUCAACUAAGAUAUUAGGAUAUAUGGUUAGUGGUUACCCUUCUAGCAUUAUUAGGUGUUUUUGGUAUGGAUGGGUAAUAUUUUUUAAUUUUUUCAUAUUUGAUUGAAGAUUCUGCAAGUUCAUUAAAAAUCAGGAGAGCAAUUUCUGAUGAGAAUAGAAAAAAGCAAGCUUUGUAAAUAACACAUUUCAUUAGAUUAUUCCUCCGCCUCCCCCCNNNNNNNNNNNNNNNNNNNNNNNNNNNNNNNNNNNNNNNNNNNNNNNNNNNNNNNNNNNNNNNNNNNNNNNNNNNNNNNNNNNNNNNNNNNNNNNNNNNNNNNNNNNNNNNNNNNNNNNNNNNNNNNNNNNNNNNNNNNNNNNNNNNNNNNNNNNNNNNNNNNNNNNNNNUUCGAUCCUUAUUGUUUGCUUAGAUUAUUGACAAAUUUGCAAACAAAAGGAGAAUAAAGGCAGCAUCUACCCUACCACUUAUUUUCAACCUUUAAAAAAUUAAUCGUGAGAACAAAACUUAUUUUCAACCUUUAAAAAAUUAAUUAAUUGUGAGAAAAAAAAUUAUCUUCAAACUUUAUCUUAGUUCAAACAAAAGGAGAAUAAAGGCAGCAUCUACCCUACCACUUGAGGACUAUAUCUCAAUUCCAUUAUAAUUUGUGUUAAAAGUUGUAGGUGGAUUUUUUUUCUUUUUAUAAAAAAUAAAUUUUGACAAAUAGUCAAUUAUUUAUUUAGGUUGAUAAAGAAGGAAAUAAUAUGGGUCCUCCAUGAGGUCAAUUCAGAAAAUAAAAUAACAAGGAAAAAAAAACGGAAAAGAUAUCUAUUUGAAAUAGUUAUACUAUGUAUGAAAAAAAUUAUUGUUAUAGCUCAUUUUAAUUAACUCAGUUAAAGAUUUAAAAUCUUUUGGCUUUAAAAGAUUAAGUGCGAUAAAACAUGACUAUGUAAUUAUGAUCCAUAACUAUGUAAUCUUUUGUACAGUUUCAUUUGUAUAUCAAUAUAAUCAAGUAUCUUUGAUAUUUAUACUUUUUAUUCGUUGGUACGAAUAUCAUUUUUUUGAUACAAUUUGAAGCAUAUAAAAGUACAAAAUACAAAUUAUAUAUCUUGAUAUGGACUGUAUUUAUUAAUAUAAUUUGAACCAUACAAAUACAAAUGAUACAUUUAUAUCAAGCAAUACAUUUGUAUUUGUAUAUGAUAGGCUUAAGCAAAUCAAAUGAUGCAAAUACAAAUAAUGCAGUUGUAUAUACUGACCGCUGAACCAUCCAAAUAUACAAAUAAUAAGUUUGUAUCAAAUGAUAAAAUAGUAGCUAUGAGUUAUAAUUAGCAAAACGUUGCUAAGAAAGUCUGAUUUUUGUCCUCAAGUUUUCUAUUUUUGAAAGUUCCUCUUUAUCUAAUUCAUAUUUUAUCCAAUUUAUUUCAAUUUAUAUUUAUACGGAUUGAAUGUAAUUCAAUUUAUUUUACCUUAUUUCAUUUUCAGUCCGAUCCAAUUCGCCCAAUAAACGCCACCAGCUUGCACUCAAAAAGCCUAUUAUUAUUCAUAGAUAUAUCAAAAAAUAUCAACCUCUUCUUUUUUCCUUGUACCCUCCAAUAAUAUUGCUUUCUCUUUCCUAUUAUUGCUGCAUAGUACGUUACUCAAAAAUCAAGAAUCACAAAAAAAAAAAUAUAUUGAAAAAAAACACAUGAGAAUGAACAUUCAAUCAAGGGCUUUGAUUAACUCAUAUUUAUAUGAACGAAUUGUAAUUCAGUUUAUUUUAACUUAUUUCAUUUUCAAUUCGAUUCAAUUGGCCUAUUUACCACCACCAACUUGCACUCAAAGGGCCUAUUAUUAUUCAUACAUAUAUCAAGAAAUAUCAACCACUUCUUUUUAGUGUACUCCAAUAAUAUUGCUUUCUCUUUCCUCUUAUUGCUAUCCAUAGUACAUUACUCAAAAAAUCAAGAAUCACCUAAAAACAAAAAAUGGAAAAAUCACAUGAGAAUGAACAUCCAAUUAAGGCAUUUGGAUGGGCAGCUAGAGACACUUCUGGUGUUCUUUCUCCUCUCAAUUUUUCAAGAAGGUACAAAUAAAUUCAUUUUUUUUGGAUUCUUUGGUUUGGAAAAUUAUACUUCCUCCGUUUCAUUUUAUAUGGCGUACUUUCAUUUUUAGUUAGUCUCGAAAAGGAUAUCAUCUUACUAAUAGAAAUAAUUUAACUAUAAAAUUCUUUUUUUACUCUUAAUGAAAUAGCUUAUAACCACGCAAAUAUCUCAAAAUUAUUUUAGGCAACAAGUUUCAAAAGAUUUUUUUUUUCUGAAACAUGAUGUCAAGUCAAAGAAUGCCACAUAAAAUAAUGGAACCGAGAGAGUAGUAGAUGUUUAAGGUGGUCUGCGUACACUACUCUUCUUAAAUCCCACUCGUGAAAUUAUACUGAGUAUAUUAUUGUUAGUAUUUUAUUUGGAUUGAAAUGGAUGAUGCAGGGUGACUGGUGAAAAAGAUGUGCAGUUCAAAGUAUUAUAUUGUGGAAUUUGUCAUACUGAUCUUCAUCAGAUCAAAAAUGAUUGGGGCAUCACCAAAUAUCCUAUUAUACCUGGGCAAGUUUACUCUUUUAUUGCAUACUUUAUUUUACUUUUUUUAUGUUCUUUAUUUGUGAUCGUCAAAAAAUUAUAUUGUGUAUAUAGGUAAUAAAAAUUUGUAAGCAGCGUUGAAUCGAUUUUACAUUAGAGAAUUUUCUAGUGUAACGCUCCGAAAUCCAAUAUGAUGCUUCAAUAUUUUCGAAGGACUCGAGUAACAUAGAUAUGAACUAUAUGGUAAAUAAUUUGAACCUCAAAAAUAAUUAUGUAAAUACUAGAGUGGACUAUAUUUUGUGUAGUUGUUCAUAUUACAAAUGGGCAGGACAACUCGAUGCACUAAGCUUCCACUAUGCGUGGGGUCUAGUGAAGAAUCGGACUACAAAAUUCUAUUGUAUGCAAUCUUAUCCUGCAUUUCCGUAAGAGUUUGUUUCCACUUUCCAUAGCUCGAACCAAUGACCUCUUUUACUUAUGCCAAGGCUCCCCUUAAGUCAUUCAUAUUUCUAAUGUAUAGUGGAAUUGAAUAACAAGAACUUAUGUGUUGGAGGUCCAUAUAUAUAUAUAGUUUUGAUUUUAUGAAAUCAAAAUUAUGUCAAUUUCAAUUGUUUUUUCAGGCAUGAAAUUGUUGGUGUGGUAACUGAGGUUGGUAACAAGGUAGACAACUUUAAAGUCGGAGAGAAAAUUGGUGUUGGAUACUUAGUAGGAUCAUGUCGAAAAUGUGACAAUUGUGCCAACGAUCUUGAAAAUUACUGUCCUGGUUUGAUAAUGACAGCCAAUGGUACUUACUCUGACGGGACCAUCACGCAGGGAGGUUACUCCGAUCUCAUGGUUGUCGAUGAGCAUUUUGUCGUUCAUUGGCCGGAGAAUUUGCCAAUGGAAGCUGCUCCAUUGUUAUGUGCAGGGGUCACAACUUAUAGUCCAUUGAAAUAUUUUGGACUUGAUAAGCCUGGAAUGCACAUUGGUGUUGUUGGUCUUGGUGGACUUGGUCAUAUGGCUGUGAAAUUUGCUAAGGCAUUUGGUACCAAAGUGACUGUCAUUAGUACAUCUGCUGGUAAGAAAGAUGAAGCAAUUGAGCGUUUGGGUGCGGACUCAUUUUUGGUCAGUCGUGACCCUGACCAAAUGCAGGUUAACCGUUAACCAUUCAAUCAACUAUGCUUCGAUCUCAAAUUUAUAACAGGAGUCAGACACGAGAAUAAUAAUUAUACUAAUUUUUGUUUGCAUGUGUAAAUACUAGCAGGCUGCAAGGGGCUCACUUGAUGGUAUCAUUGACACUGUAUCUGCAGUUCACCCUAUUUCUCCAUUGCUUAAUUUGUUGAAAACUAAUGGGAAGUUAGUAAUGGUUGGUGCACCAGAAAAACCACUAGAGUUGCCUGUAUUUUCCUUGCUUGCAGGUAUAUGUGAAACUUUCACGUAGUAUCUCAUUCUUCAUUUCGAACAUGUCCCUUUGAUUAUAUUGACAUUUGACAACACAAGUUUAUAACAUGGAAAAUAGGACGUAAGCUAGUAGCAGGGAGUGGAACCGGAGGGUUGAAGGAGAUGCAAGAGAUGGUAAACUUCGCGGCAAAGCAUAACAUAACACCGGAUGUUGAAGUCGUGCCAAUGGACUAUGUGAAUACAGCGUUGGAGCGCCUAGUGAAAUCGGACGUGAAGUAUCGAUUUGUGCUUGAUAUUGGCAAUACAUUGAACAAGAGUUAGUAUAUAUGGGACAUCUUGUUAUCGUUGUGUGUUUGUAUUUUAAGUAACAAACUGGUUAGUUCAAGAUGGAAUUACAUAUCAUAUACUCUUAUGUUACAAUUUAUAUGCCACGAUAAUAUAACAAAAGUAUUGAGCAGGAGAAGUUAUAGAACAAGAACAGUGAAGGAAAAUAAAACAACCGAAAGCUUUUUCUUGAAUAGAAAAUAUGGCGCCUUAAAUUACAAGAGAAAACAGAGCAACUUUACUCUGUAUAUAUAGACUCCUACUACAAAUAUAACUCCUAAAUUUAACGUUUUAUUCCACCUAACUUACUAAUAAAAUUACUACCUUCCAGGCCACUUUAUAAGGUGAACAAACCUCACCUAGUAAUUGUUUUGACCUUGUAAAUGCAGUAAACUAAAUAAAACAGUAAGUUGCACUAAUUUGUUACACUCCCCCUUAGUGAAAGCUCAUGAUGAACUACUUCCAGAGUAUCUCGAAAGUAGUGAAACUUAAACUUCUCCAAAGCUUUAGUGAAUAUAUCCGCAACUUGAGCGUUGGUGCGAACAGUUGUCAGUUCAAUCUCUUCACUUAAGACUUUCUCACGAACAAAGUGAUGGCGGAUCUCAAUAUGCUUCGUUCGAGCAUGAAAAACUGGAUUUGACGCAAGUUUGAUGGCACUUUCAUUGUCACACUUGAUUUGCACAGCAUAGUCUACUUUCUGGUACAUAUCAUUGAUUAGCCUUCUCAACCAAAUGCACUCUUGUGCGGCUAUGGUUGCUGCAAUAUAUUCAGCUUCAGUGGUAGAAAAAGAAACAACAUCUUGCUUCUUGCUGCACCAAGACACCACUGCUGACCCGGUACUAAAACCUGCCCAAUUUUCAUCAGUAAAUCUAUUCAAUAAAAAAGUAUCACACCUCUUGUACCAAAGUCCAUGACUAAGAGAUCCUUUCACAUAGCGCAAGAUCCUCUUUGCGGCAUUUAAGUGAGAAGUUGUUGGAUUUGCAUAAAUUGAGAAAUGACACCAAUAGAGUAAGAUAUUUCUGGCCUUGUGAUAGUCAGAUAAAUCAAACUUCCAACUAGUUGUCGGAACUUUAUUGCAUCCUUCAAAGCCUCCUCUUCAUCCUUCUUCAACUUGAGAUUUGGCUCAAUUGGAGUAGUCUUUUCUUUCGACUCCCCCCAUGAUGAAACGUUCUAAGAGACUCUCCGCAUAAUCUUUCUAAGAAACAAAGUAGUCUCGAUCUGAUUUUUCCACUUCCAGACCAAGAAAACAUCUAAUUUGCCCCAAAUUUUUUAUCUCAAAACGAACAGACAAGUCUUUCCUUAGAUUAGAAAUUUCUAAUUCAUUAUCUCCAGUUAUUAUCAUAUCAUCAACGUAUAUUAAUAUCAGAAGAUAUGCAUUUGAUUCUAAUUUUAUAAAUAAACUAGAAUCUGAAUCAGAUACUCUAAAACCACAAAAGAUAAGGUAUUGAGCAACUUUACCAUAUCAAGCUCGUGGUGCUUGCUUGAGGCCAUAUAGAGCUUUCUUCCAACGACAAACAUAACUUGGAAACUGCUUAUAUGCAAAGCCAUAAGGUUGCUCCAUAAAUACUACUCGAUCCAACUCUCCGUAAAGAAAUGCAUUCUGUAUAUCAAGCUGCCACAGUUUCCAACUUUUGAAAGCAGUUAGCGAAAUAAGUGACCUUACUGUCACCAUCUUCGCUACCGGACUAAACGUCUCCUCAUAAUCCAAUCCAUAGUUUUGAGAAAACCCACGAGCAACUAGACGAGCUUUAAACCUAUCAAUGGUACCAUUAGAUUUUUUCUUCAAGCGAAAUACCCAUUUACAAGUGACUGGAUUGCAUUUUUCUGGUUUGGGUACCAAUUCCCAAGUUUCAUUCUUUUCUAAAGCGUCAAUCUCUUCUUGCAUCGCUCUUUCCCAAUGUGGACAGCCCUUUGCCUCUUCAUAACUUAAUGGUUCUUCCGUAGUUAGUGCUCCUGUAAAGAAACACGAGGUCACGGAAUAACUUUUAAGUUUGACCUCAUAAUCUUUAAGGUAGUCCGGUUGUUUUUUCUCCCUUGUUGACCUUCUUGCUGCUUGUUGUUCACCAUUUCCUUCCCUUGAAAUGUUCUAACUUGGAGAUGCCACUUCUGAAAUAUUCUGAUUUGGAGAUACACUUUCUCCCUCUUCACUACAAGGUGAUAAAACAUCUAUUUUAGGAAAUAAUAACUCCAUAUUAUCUUAAUCAUCACCCAGAACAACAAGCUUUUGACAAGAAAACAAAGAUGACGUUUCAUCAAAUACCAUGUCUCUAGAAAUGGUAAACCUGUUUGUCUUUGGAUCCAUGCAUCUACAGCCCUUCCUAUAAGAAUCAUAACCAACAAAUACACAUUUUCUUGCUUUCAGAUCAAGUUUGGUUCUAUUAUUUCUGGGAACAUGAACAUAACAAGUAGAACCAAAAACCCGAAAAUAG